rnacentral:lncRNA from 1 species
UUUAAUUCAAUGUCGUUCUCUGUAUACUUGACCCCGGUACACUAGAGAUGGAAGGAUGCGUCCCAAGUAUUUUUAAUGGAUGUUGAAUAUGCCGGCACUGAUAUUAUCCAGCUAGAUUUAAGACAACAAGCCUAAGGACUCUUUAACUAUGCUAUUUUCGGAUACAUAAAAUGCUUGCUGCAAUGGAAGCAUUAUGAGCUUAGAGCUUGAGUAUCUAUCUAUUCGUCACUGUCAGUUUUCUCCCUGGUUCAAAACGAGGAUAUGUGCUAGCAUAAACAUUAGUGCUUAGAUUGAGGAGUACAUGUAUGGAAAAAAGGUGUGUAGGUAUGGGGGCUGGUUGUUUUUUUAUCUCUCUAUAUUUUCUAAUUUCUAAGUAAUUUCAUUCAUUUAUGAAUAAUGUUCGAAGCCGCAAACUGAAUUGUACAUCCACAAACUGAAUUGUCUUUCAAUGGGAGUAAAUUAAAGGGACGUAACUCUAAGAUUGGUCUAACAACCGCUCUGAAGAUGUCUACAUCAAAGUCAUUAUAUUUGGAUGGCAACCACAUGAAUUAUCUCCUUGCACAUGUUGAUACAUUUCUUUUCGACUGCGAUGGUGGGUAAAAUAUUAAAAAUAUUGUUUUAUCUGUCUUUAAACAAAGUGUUAUUUUAUUCCAGCUAUGUUAACAUGUCACAUUUAUCCUUUUUGUUUCACGUUUAUUUACAAGCAACUAUCUCGUCAUAUGUGAUCGUUUAUAUGGUCAUUGUAACUUUUUUAUGUUAUAUUUUGUUUCAUAUUAUUAUUAUAUUAUUAUCUAUAGGAUAAGGCAUUUCGAUCUCAAGACAAAUGUUACCUUAAUAAGAUUUUUAUUGUGUAAUGCAACAAGGUCAUUAAUUAGUACAUCAUUUACUAUACUCAUUCACCUUGAUGAUAUAUCUGUCGCAAUAUGUCUAACAAAAUAUCAUGAACAUUUAAUAUAAGUUCAAUACACAAAAGUGAUAAACACAGUAAACAGACUUUAUUCUGUCAAAAUUUAGAUUUCUGCUUACUGUGACGGCGUUGCCUUGAUCUAUGUUUCAAUGAGCGUCGACUUCACUCUACACAUUAAGCAUCUCUGCUAAAUUGCAUAUAAACUAUGUUGUUAUGGUAUUUUAUUAAAUCAAUAUUGUUGUUAUUCCCAAUAUUCUAAUAAAACUUUUUGAAAAGUGUUUCUUGGUGUGAGAAACUUUUGUCGCCGUGAGAGUGAAAAUCUAAUGUUUCGAACAUUAUUUGCCCUAUCCAGCAAUCAAAUUAAAAUCAUACAAGCGCUUUUUGUUAUCAUUGUUGGCAACCUAUUUCCUCGUAUUAUACACUAAUGACACAAUUGUAUAUCUAUCUUUAAACCUCUAAUUACAUCUCUACAGAAGAACUAAAAGGUUUGGGUGCUAUUGUUCAGUGUAUUUAAAAUCUGAUAUUUUUUUCACGGUCUUAACUAGCAAACUACGCCUUACGAAAAGUUAGUAGAUUGGAAAUCAACCACCACCAACCACUGCUAACAAAAACAAUAUCAACUCAACAGUCUGACUUCUUAAAGGAUUAGUAUUAAAUUAUGACUACACAACUCAGAUUUGAAUUGUGAAUGGAGAAUUUUGGAGAUAUGAAAAAAAAUUUCCAGCUCAUAGUUAAAUUGCCCCCCCACCCAACAGUAUGCUUCAGCAGUACUUUGGUAGACUUGUUAGCACAUUGGACAGAAUGCUUUGCAGUAUUUGUUCUGAUUCUGUGCUCUGAGUUUAAAUCCCGUUGAGGUCAACUUUGCCUUUCAUGCUUUCAGGGUUGAUAAAAAUAAAGUACUAUUCCAAGGUGAUGGAUUUGUGGAACUGUAAAACCAACGAAUCGGAUGCCUUGUUGUAUUUAUUCCAGCUCUUUACAUUCUUAGUUCAAAUCCCACUAUGACUUACUUGGGUGGUAGACUUAACCAUUGCCCAGUUUAAAAGCACCACCUGGUACCACGGGAGCCCUUAGCAGAGUCCACUCUGUUAUAAGCAUUUGGGCAGGCUUCCAGUUUGAAGAUGCUUUCCUCUCUUUCUUCCAUCAGUCUUGGAAGCCUUGUGGACACUGUCUUCCCUCCUGACUAAAAGAUAUAAAAAAGUUGUGUUCUGUUUACUUAUUAUCCCACUUGAAUGUGGGUGAGCUUACAGAUGUUAAAAGAAAUGAAAAAUAAUCCCCCUUUGUUCAUUAUUUCUGGAUUUUAUUGGUUUCUUUGAUGAGCCUUUAAUAAUCUGGUUGACUGUAUCUCAUAUAUGAAAUUGUAACAUUUAUUUUGUGUUUUACAUAAUAGUGUUAUGUGUAUAAUUUCUUGCAUUUUUGUAGGGCACAGAUGAUUAAAUCAGGUACAGUGUUUCACUGGUUGUUAGUUUAUUGCUUAAAAAAAGUUAAAAUAUAAAAAAAAUUAAGAUCAGAAUGUAAAGAGACAUGACUAGAUGCCAUUAAAAUUAUGUUCUUGUUUUCUACUGAUACUGCACAGUAAUAGAUAUAUAUAAUCAGGCAUGGCUGUAUGGUUAAGAAGUUUGAUUUGAAACCAUGUAGUCUUUAACCUUAAACUCAGUUCUGCACAGCAACUUGGGCAAGUGUCUCUAGAAUUACCUUGGAUUAGCUAGCACCUUGCAAGAGGAAUUGAUACUCACUAGUUGUAAUUCAGAAAGGCUGUAGAAACCAUACAAACGAAUACAUUGGAGCAUGAUGCAUUCUUCCAACACAUCCAAAUCUGUCACUCCAUCCAGCUUAAACCAGCAUGGGCGAUGGACAUUAAAAGGUGAUGAGGAAAUGUGUGUGUGUUACUUUACUGUAUAUAGAUGAUAUCAAUAUCAUCUAUAUGACUACCAAAGAAACCAAAAGGAGCACAAUGGAGAGCAUCCAACACAAAGCUAACUCCAUCCACCAAAGUAUCAGAGUAACUGUAGAUUACCAUACAAGACAGCCUAACAAUAGACCUGAUAAGGCAAACCAACAGGAUACUACUGCUCUUAAUAUUUUCCAGAAAUCUAGUAUAUCUAUGAUCUCAUUUAUUAAUCAGUAUAUUAUAGGUAUAAAUGAUAUCCAUAAUAGUGAAAACACUGGGAGUUGACUGGAGGACACUACCCUCAACCCUAGUGUGCCAUCUAAUAGUACAGCAUCCGUUCCAUAUAUGGGAGGCUCCUUUGUACUAGAUAGGUCUAGUUGCAACUGCAAAUCUAGGAAAUUGCAGAAGGUUUAACCUUGUCUACAAAUGCAUAGUUCAUAACACAUUUAACAGCUCUACUAGGUGCUAUAUAGGAUCCACACUUUCAAGCAUCGAUAUUUGACCCAUUUAAAUUCAUUUAAGUAUGAAGAGCAUAGCAAGUCUACCUCUCUAGCUGACCACAUGUAUUACUUUAAGAAAAAGAAAAUUCCUUACGGUAUAUUCUGAUCUAUAAGUGAUUCUGGUCUCCUAUGCCAGGGCCAGUGUACUACUUGUUGGCCAUUUUUAAAAGAAUCCUUACACUUACUGUUACAUAACCCUACACUGUUACUUAAUAAGCAGCAUGAAGCAUUCUCCACCUGUACACACAGAUUUUUUAAGUCCUUCAAAUUUUUCCAUAGAUCUAAAUUAAGAAAAACUAACACUUCUGAUUAUCACUAGCAUCUAACUUAGACAUUUUACCUAUUCAAUACUUCCACAUACAUGACUGUUUUUACCAUUAUUAAAUGAGCAGCACUAAACAUUCUCUCCACAUAUACAUAAACUCCUUAGUUCCAUUAAUAAUGUAUCUUCAUUAGUGCAGGCCUCAUUAAUAAUAUAUCUUCAUUAGUGCAGGCCUCAUUAAUAAUGUAUCUUCAUUAGUGUUAAUUUUUAAUUUUAUGAUUUUAACCUAAAGUUGAUUUUAAGUGUUAACUUUAUUUUAACUUUAAUUUAUUUUUUAAUUAUCUUUAUUUAUUUUCUUUAGUUAUCUGUCUUUAUUUUAGUUUUAUAACAUAUCUUAACUGUUUUAUACCACAAAUCUUAAAUCUUUUCUUUACUAGUUGACAUUUAGCUUAUCUUAGUGGGUAGACAACGCUACAUCUCCACCCUAGUAAGAUUUGACUACACACUAUACACUUGUCUUUUCUUUAUCUUCCUUAUGUUCACUUUAUUACCUACAAACCCACUCACCUCUCAUUGAUGCCCAGCCCUGUGGGUCUGGCAUCUGCCUUGUUUAUUUUCUCCCUUAUCUGUGGUCUUUACAUUUGCCUCCGCCACUCCAUCUCCAACUUAUUUUGCUGGGAAUACCAGUUUACUAGCCCUUUGCACUCCCUCUAAUUUCCCAAGAUAAAAAUACCUCCCAUUAUACUGCUUAGUAUAUAUCCACUACAAUGCCCUGAUCUAUUUAUCUAUCUAUCUUUCUCAUACCAGAAUUUAUUCUUUCCACUUCUCUCAGGAAUGAAUACUCUAGGAUAUCAUCAUCAUCAUUUAGCGUCCGCUUUCCAUGCUAGCAUGGGUUGGACGGUUCAACUGGGGUCUGGGAAGCCAGAAGGCUGCACCAGGCCCAGUCUGGUCUGGCAAUGUUUCUACAGCUGGAUGCCCUUCCUAACGCCAACCACUCCAUGAGUGUAGUGGGUGCUUUUUACGUGCCAGACGGGGCUGGCAAACGGCCACGGUCGGAUAGUGCUUUUUACGUGCCACGGGCACGGGGGCCAGGCGAGGCUGGCAACGGCCACGAUCGGAUGGUGUUUUUAUGUGCCACCGGCACUGGUAUCACAGCUGCAAUUUCCAUUGAUGUUGAUCGACUUCGAUUUUGGUUCUGAUUUCCAUUUGCCUCAACAGGUCUUCACAAGUGGAGUUUUGUGUCCCAAGAAGGAAAGGUAUGCAUAAGUCGACUGGCUACAUCCCAGGUAGAGGCCAUGGGUUAUAGUCUCACUUGUCCUGCUGGGUCUUCUCACGCACAGCAUACUUCCAUAGGUCUCGGUCUCUAGUCAUUUCCUUGGUGAGACCUAAAGUUCAAAGGUUGUGCUUCACCACCUCGUCCCAGGUUUUCCUGGGUCUACCUCUUCCACAGGUUCCCUCAACCGCUAGGGUGUGGCACUUUUUCACACAAGUAUCUUCAUCCAUUCUCGUCACAUGACCAUACCAGCGCAAACGUCUCUCUUGCACACCACAACUGAUGCUUCCUAGGUCCAACUUUUCUCUCAAGGUACUUACACUCUGUCGAGUAUGAACACUGACAUUACACAUCCAUUGGAGCAUACUGGCUUCAUUUCUUGCGAGCUUACGCAUAUCCUCAGCAGUCACGGCCCAUGUUUCACCACCAUGUAGCAUGGCUGUUCAUACACAUGCAUCAUACAGUCUGCCUUUUACUCUGAGCGAGAGGCCUUUUGUCACCAGCAGGGGUAAGAGCUCUCUGAACUUUGCCCAAGCUAUUCUUACUCUAGCAGUUACACUUUCAGCACACCCACUUGGUCACCUAGGUAACGGAAGCUAUCAACUACUUCUAGUUUUUCUCCCUGGAAUGUGGUAGAACUUGGUCUCUGCACAUUUUCAGUGUUUAUUGCUCCAGAGCAUCUGCCACAAACAAAGACUAUUUUCCUAGUUAGCCUUCCUUUGACAUUGCUGCACCUCUUACGUGUCCAUAGCUUACACUUGGUGCAUCUUAUAGAUAUACUGAAUAGUAUAUAUAUCUAAUACAAUGCUCUUACCUAUCUAUCUUUUCUUUCACCAGAAUGUAUUAUUUAUUCCUCCUCUCAGUAUUCACACAACUUCGGAACUGCUAGUAUUCAUUCUCUUUCUGGAAUGUUCUCAAUAUACUGAACAAUAUAUAUCUAAUACAAAAUUCUUACUUAUCUAUUUUUUCUCUCAUCAGAAUGUAUCUCUAUUCUUUCUCUCAGUACCCUUAUAGCCACAAAAAGCAUAAGUCUAUGUACUGACAGGGGAGAUAAUCAUCCCACAGUGAGUGAGGGAUGGCAAACUAGUUUUGCUUGGAAUUAAAGCUCAUUAGUAGUACUACUCCAUUGCUAAUUGUUAUGCUACAUCCUACCUGUCAGUAGAUAGUAUUUACCAUAGGAAUCAAUAGCUGAUUCAGUAAAAUAGUAAUCUGAAAAUUAUAAAAUGAUGAAGGUGGCUAGAUGAUAUAUGAAACUAAAAAGGAAAAAUUCAGUUGUCACUAAUAGUGACUGAGGGUGCUAGAAACAAGAGUCAAAGACCCUUAUAGCCACAAAAAGCACAAGUCUAUGUACUGGCAGGGGGGAUAACUGCUGUACAGCAAGUGAGGAUACUAUAUUGGCAAGCCAGUUUCACUUGAAAUUAAAGCUCAUCAGUAGUACCUCUGAAUCGGCUAUUGAUUCAUAUGGGGAAAUUGGCUUGCCUAUAUAGUACCCUUGCUUGCUGUGGAGUGGUUAUCUCCCCUGUCAGUUAUAGACUUGCACUUUUUGUGGCUAUAAUGGUCUUUGACUCUUGUUUCUAGCAUUGUAGGUGCUACCCUGCACCCUCAGUCACUAUUAGUGACAAUUAAAUUACAUAUAUAUAUGUACAUAUGUAAAGGUAAAAUCCAUGGAUCAAGGUGUAGGGAGUUAGUAAGCUUCAAGCAGUCUGUAGAAGGUAUAAAAAACAACUUUCAGGAACAAUAAUAGUUUAUUGACAUAGAAGGUUGUAAAUUUUUCCCGUAUCGAAGUUUGAUAAACUGAAAAAAGUUAUUUUAUAAUUCCCAGUUAGCAAUUGGGGUUGCUGUGUAUAUGAAUAAAAAUCUAAAUUUAGGGAAUGGAGUAGAUAAAAUCCAGGCUACAUAUGUUUCCUAGCAGAACCUCAGAAGUAGUAAUUACCCAAACGAGGGAUACUCCAUUAGCUACUCAUCAAGCCAAAGAUACCUUAGUCAAACGAAAAUUACAUUGUGGUCAAGGGGUUCCAUAUUAACUCGCAGAAGAUUUGAUUGAAAAUGCAUGGGGCGCAUAGAAGGAGAAAGCAAAAGGGAAAGUAUGUGUGAAGAAAUGAUGUAUGGGAGUGGGUAAAUGUCUAAAUUUGGUAAGAAAAAGAAUAAGAAUAUGAAUAAAGAAAAGAAGGGGAGAGUAGCGGAAAACUUUGGUAUUAUUGAGUCUGGCUAAGGGAAUGUUUGUGUAAAUUUAGGCUGGGGUCAUUUACUAUGUCUACUGUAGAAUAGAUAAAUAAAUAAAUAUAUUGUGGCACCCUGUAAAUACAUUUAAACAGAGUCAAAGAAAAAUGAAGGGGAAGAAUGUCAGUUGGAGGAGAGAAAGAGAAGGUUGUAGUCAGAAUUUGUUAGGAGAAGAGGGGAGAGAAGGCAAAGGAGGUGGAAGAUGUUUUUGGUCAGUAGGGGAACAUAGUAGUUCAUAUUGGAUAGGGAUGUUCUUUCUAACUAUCACCUUUGGACUGCUCAGACAUCCUUUCUGAGGUUGAUGAUUUGCUACAAAUGUGGAAACAUAUGAAGUGGUGUAUAGAUGGCUUCUCAGCCAGUUGAGAACCUUUUCUGAUGGAAUAACUAGGCUUGAGGACCACUGGAAGAAGUGCAUCAAAAACUAAGGAAACUCUCGAAAAAUGAUGUAAUUGUUCAACCUCUGCUUUUGUUUUAUUAAGCUUAAGUCAUGCAAAAGUGCAUAUAAUUUUUGUCUUGCCUCCAUGCGUGUGUUUGUAUGCAUGCACACAAAUGUUCAUCAUCAUCAUACAUACAUACAUACAGGAGAAAGGUGUGGAUGAAAAGUUCAUCAGGCUAGUAGUGCAUGUGGACACUUCCUACUUUUCAUACAAGAUGAGGAAGGGACAAUUUCUGUUCAUGGUGAUGCAGGAAAAGCGGCUUAAGCACACCAAGAAACUGAUCAAGUCAAAAUAUUUACUGGAACCAGACAUGCUGUGGUUCUUCUCUGACAAGAAGAAUUUCUGGCAAGACAAGAAAACUCCCAGAACAAUGGGUGAUUUGCUGUCUCACUCAGAGAUGUGCCCAGAGUCAUGCAGAUGAAAUUUCCAGUGAUAAUCAAGGUCUUCAGUAUUGUCACCACUUAUCCUACUUCUUCCCCAAGAGCCUCAGGCUGAACACCAAUGGCUGCAUCCAUAUUCUGAGUGAGGUGGUGAAGCUCUGGAUCAACCAUAUAGCUGCUGGGUAGCUAUACAUGUGACAGGAAGACUCAGUGCCUUUCCACAUCAUCUGGAAGACCCAGGCCUGGCUGUCAGAGAAUUUCUUCAAUCACACAGCACCUGACACUUGGUAUCCCAACUCGCCUGACUGCAAUCUCCUUGACUCCUUUGUGUGGGGUGCGAUGGAAUGAGAGACCAACAUAUCUAUUUGCAACACUAAGGAUGAGCUAAGGGCUAGGAUAACCAAGGCCUUCAGGGAUUUAAAAUGUGAAAAAUUGAUAAAGGCCUAUGGCUGGUUCCGCUGUCACCUGGAGAGUGUCCUCGAUGCCAAAGCUGGGUUGAUCAAAUGAAAUCAACAGAAUAUCAUAAAACUAAACUGACCUAAAAUUGAUGAAUAUAUCUCAAAAAACAACACUGUACACCUUUCCCUGAGACAGUCAUGUGAAUGAAUACUGUCUGCACCCUGUAAUGUAUAUAUGUAUGAAUGUUUAUAAUAUAUUAUUUCUAUUAUAUAUGAUACUAGCAGUAUCGCCCGGCGUUGCUCGGGUUUGUAAGGGAAAUAACUAUAUAAGCAUUUUUAGAGAGUUAUAGCAAAAAAAUAGCAAAAAAUGCAUUAAAAAUGGAAAAAAUAUGAUGGUAAAUUUUUUUUAAAAUCGUUGACUCAUCGUAGACAUUUUUAGAGAGUUACUUCCCUUAUAUAAUAGCGAAAAAAUGCAUUAAAAUGGAAAAAAACGAUGGUAAAUUUUUUUUUAAAUCGUAGACUCAUGUAGACGCUUUCUUAGCCAUUUCUGUUUUGGUGUCUUCAAGCCAUGAAGUCGUUGUUCUAAAAGAACACUGGUCUCCUUGACAACGCAUUACGACGUUGAUUUCCUUACACUCCUUUCCCCACAGGUGCAGGUGUGAGCGUGGACGCCAACUCCGCCGCCAUCGACACACGAAAAAUUAUGCAUUAAAAUGGAAUAAAAAAUGAUGUUAAAUUAUUUUUAAAAUCGUAGACUCAUCGUAGACGCGCGCUAAUAUUCAGACGGGCUCGAUAUGAAUCACGACUAUAAGCUACCCGAAUUUGGUUAAACUGCACCGCAAAAUGUGGGAGUAGUUAGGAAUCUAAAUCGAAGGGGACAGACACUCACACAACUACAGUUUUAUAUAUAUAGAUAUACAUAGCGCAGUAGUGGUGAGAUGUGACAGCAAAGAAAAGCAUACAUUCACUCUCUGCAUGCAAUUAGACUCGGAAAGUUCGUGAGGAACCCAUUGACCCAAUUUGCUGACUUUUCCGAUAGCACACAGGUGUCAAUGAAUGGUUGAAUGACCAAAUCCAAGCUUCUCUGCUAGUUCCUCAACAGUUACGAUGAGAUUUUGUUCCACCAGGGUUUUCAGGAUGUCCUUGUCGAGUUCUACAGAUCUUUCAGGAUGAGGCUCGUCUUCUAGGCUGUAGUUUAUGGCUCGGGAUUUCUGGAACCACCAUUGACACUGCCUUACGCUUAUUGUCCAAUCCCCAUAUACUGCAUUAAUAUUUCUUGUACUUUGCACACAUUUAUAUUCUGUUAUUCUUUUAUAUGUUUCAGCCUUGAGGUUGUGGCCAUGCUGGAUCAUGUGUGUGUGUGUGUAUGUGUCUAUCUGUCUGUCUGUCUGUAUGUAUAUAUGUAUAUGUAUGUGUGUGAACAAUAAUAUUUUCAACAGAUGUGUUGCAAAUGUAUCUGAUUGUUCUCAAGCUUCAAUACUGUGUGUGUGUGUAUGUGUGUGUGUGUAUGUAUGUAUGUAUAUGUAUGUAUGUAUGUAUAUGUAUGUAUGUGUGUAUGUAUGUAUGUGUGUGUGUAUGUAUGUGUGUGUGUAUGUGUGUGUGUGUGUAUGUAUGUAUGUAUGUAUGUAUGUAUGUAUGUAUGAGUGUAUGUUUACUUUAUUACUAACACAAGCCACUACGGUUAUUUAAUGAAAGUCUUCCUCAAAUCACUCUCUCUCUCUCGCUAUUUACUCUCUUCCAAGAACAUUUUCACUCACUCUUAGCUCUUAGCUUCCCAUACAUUUUACUCAUGUAUCUAUCAGCGUCAUAGACAGAAUACUUUCAGUUUAGUCUUCCUCAAAUCACUCUGUCGCUAUUUACUUUCAUUUUAUUCGUUGCCCACUGUGUGUGUGCGUUUGCGUGUGGUGUAAACCAGACUAAGAAAAGCAUUUGACACACACACCAGAAUGUGAGUUUUCUGUAAAUUUUGCUUAAUUGGAGUUUAAAUUUUAAAAACUGGACCUGGCAUGACGCGAUGCAUUGUACUCUUAAAAAUGCUAGGUAAAUUGUAAUUGAAGAAAUCCUAUAUUGUAGAUUUCUAUAACUCCCAAAGGGAGGCAGAUAAAAUCUGCCUUUUAUAAUAAGAGAUAUAUCUCUAUAUAUAAUAUAUUAUUUAUAUUAAACAUAAUAUAUAUAUUAUACAUAAUAUACUAGAAUAAAAAAUGUGAGCAAAGGGUAACAAUAUUCAAACCUGGAAAAAUACAAGACAAUAAGUAAACCUAAAAUAAAAGAAAAGAGCUUAAAAUAUUGCAGCUAAAUAUAAAAUUUGAUAAAAAAUAAUCUAAUGCUUUAUCAUAAAUUCCCAUGUAUCAAAUAAAAAUUGUUUUAAGAUUUUUGAAAUGGAGAUUCAUUUUUGUUUAUUUAUUAUUAAUACAAUGUUAUAAAGAUAAUCUUUAUUUUCUUUCAUUAUGAUUGACAUCUGCAUUUAUUUGAGGGAAACGGAUUACCUAGCAGUAAAAUAAACUGACAAACAGUUAACUAACUAAAAAUUAAAAUUUUAAAAGUAAAAUAGUUUUUGCCAAAAAUAAAGUAAUGAAAACAUCUGAUUACUUAAAUAGGCUUAAAUUGUACUAUAGCCAAACAUUUAAUUUAUUUACCUACUUUAUUCUUUUAUUUGUUUCAGCCAUUUGACUGUUGCCAUACUGGAGCACAAUUUUGUCAAAAUUUUCAGUAAAUAAAGUAAUUUUAACUAUUAAUGUUACAAAAUAUUAUGGCAGUUAUCACUUUAUUUUCAUAUAUUGAAAUUUAAAAUUUAUUUAUAGUCAAGCUCAGCAAUAGUGAAAUAAUUUGGGUGAAAAAUGGUUGAUCAGUAUUGAAUGGCUUGGCUUAUUUGAAUAUUUUAUUUAAUUGGCAACCCAUUCAAAUUUUAUUUUAGCUGCAAUAUUUUAAGCACUUUUCUUUUAUUUCAGGCUUACUUCUUGUCUUGUAUUUUCCGGGUUUGUUAAAUACCUAAGAAUAUUGUUAUCUCUUGCUCGCAUUUUUCAUUCUAGUUCACUUUCUUUACAGACAAUGCAGAAAAAUUAAUAAUGUUUAUUCUAAUAAUAAAUUUAGCUUACUUUUUCAUAUUAUUUAAUUUCCUAUUGAUCAAUAAUUGAUGCCUAUUCUUUUUUGUUAGAAAUACUAAAUUGAAUAGCGCUUUCUUUACAUUGAGUAUUGAUAUCUGCCUAUUUAGAAUAAAUUUUUUUAAAAAGAGAGCAAUAAUAAAAAAAAUAUAAAGCAAUAUCUAUGAGCAAUGAGAAAUCAAAUGAAUUAGGAGAGUAGAUUGACUAAAAAACAAAACAUUAUAGACUGGAUUUGCUUUGUAUUGCCAAGUUGUCAUUUAAGUAUCUUUGUAAUUGCAAGACAUGGUAAUUAUUGAAAGCUGCAUAACUUUUUUUCUCUUUAAUAUAUUUUUAUGGGGUUAGUAAGAAAAGAUACAAGUGGUGGAAAUCUUUCAUUUGAAUGCAAAUAAAGUAUAGUUUGCUUUUCAAACAGCUGUGAUAUUUUGAGUUAAAGUCAAUCUUGGGGUUUAUUUACCUAUUUUUUGACCACUUAAAGCUGCAUAACUAAACUUGCCACAUGUUCAAUAGUACUUAUAGAUCAGCCACACAGUAAAUCAUACCACCUACAUUUUGAACAGUCAUUUGAUCACAAUUAAUUAUCUUUUCCAUCUUCGCUUGCAAAACCAGAGAGCAGAAUUCAAAUUUACAUCUUUUAUACAGCAGUCCUUUAAUGCAUCCUGUUUUUUUUUUUGUAAGAUAUUUGUCUUUAGUUCAUUAAUUUCUUGGGUCUCUUUUUAUUUUGUUUUUGUAACAUAUUCACUUUUAGUUCAUUAAUUUCCCAGAUAAGUUAAAAUUUACUUUCUGACAGUCAACUGUUGUCACUGUUCAGUGAGAAGACUUGUUCUUUCAGUUUUAUUUCAUUAAAAGAUCUAUUUUCUGUUUCAAGUUUUUUCUUAUCAACUGCUAUGUAUGCUAUUCUUUGACUUUGUGGAAAGAUUAGGUCUCCUCUACAAAGUUUUGAUGAAUAUUGUGCAAUUCUCACUCAACAUUUCUUUUAUCUCGCAUUGACUGCUUUUUUACAAUGUUUUAUUUCUUUACGCUGUGUCAAUAUGGUGCUUCACACUACACUGGAGCAGUAGUUCUGAUUUUAUUGGGAUCACUGUCGUCCAUAACGCUUUCAAUUCACCACCAGCAAUAGUCUGCUUUACCAUCUUGACAGGGACUAAUCUUCGUUUCACCCAAAGCUUCAUGGAGCAGAAGUCCAAGUGACACACCAUAGUCGGCAAGUAGUCCAGAUCUAAGAGACAAGGAUACUCCAUCUCCAUCACAUAGACUGGAAGCAUGACCUUUUGUCCUGCAACUUCAGUCAGUACAUCAACUGGUCCUCGCAGUUCAGUACAGUGCCUGGUAACACCACACAAUUGCUGUGAUGACUCUGGUAGGUCUCGAUGCUGUAACAUCUCAAGUCUCACAAAAGUCUACUCCAAGGCUGAACCAAUCACAAGGCAGCACUUCUGGCCAUCAAUUCUAUGUUGUUAAUUACAGUCCUUUUACAUCUCAGGGUUGGGGCUUCUUUGGAAUAUUUGGCUGGCAGUUGCCCCUUAACACCAGCCUCUUCUAGUUUUCUGACUCUCCUUUGUCUUUCAUUAUCUUCUUACUAUCCUUCUUUCAUGUGGGGCAGUAAAAACUGAGAUGUCCCUUUUCACCACAUAUCCAGCACUCUCUUCUAAGUGUGAACUUUUUACUACUGUCCUGCUUUUGUUCUUUCUUCAAGCUGUAACAAUCUUGUAUCUUGUGUCCUGGCUUCUCACAGUGCCAACAAUUUAUUUCAACCAUCUUUUGUUCUUUUUUCUUCAAAUAGCUUUCUCUUUUAUGUCUGACCUUCUUGCAGUACCAGCAACUUUCAUUAAAUCUUCCUGCUUCACGUACUUGCCCCUUCCUUGCUUUGAAUCUGGAACUGUAGUCCACCUAGAAUCUUCCUGUGCGAGACUUUACAUAUGACUCAAGUUCCAGAGCUCUAGCUGUGCUUCACUUGAACUUUGAGCUCUGCACUGCCCAACUGUUCUUUCAGAAGAAGAGCUGAAAGUCCCUGGGCAAGCUGUUGUAGUGAUUCUCCCUCCUAUAGCACUUCUGCAAGUCUGAAAUUGGACUUUGUUCACUUCACUCAUACGUAGUAAUAUAUCUUCUCUCUAAAAGUGGGUAUAAUUGAAGUAUAGUUUGAAUUUGAAAUACCUGAGAUAUUUUGAGUAAAAAUCAAGUUUAGGUGUUGCCAAUUUUUUGGCUACUUAACCCUUUCGUUACUAUGUGUUUCAAUUAAUUUCUAACGUAAUCAUAAAUUUAGUCUGGUUUCAUUAAACAGCUAUAACUUUUUUAUUUAUCAAUAUAUUAAUCUGAUUUUUGGAAGAUAAUUUAAUGAAAUGUUCUCAACCAAUUCUAUACUAUAAUUUUUGUCACAAAGUGACUCUUAUUGCAGGUAGAUACAGGUAAAUUCAACAAAAUAUAAAAUUAUUAAAAUUUUGUUCAAACAUUGCUAUAGAAAAUGGGUUAUUAGCUAAUAUUCAAUUGGGUAUACAACAAAAUUUUACGAUAGAAUUUGUUAUUCUGGGUAACUUUCUGAUACCCAUAAUAAUAUUUAUGGCAAAAUAGUCUUAAUUUCAUUUAAGGUUGUGGGAAACCACAAACUAUCCUUUCUUUCGUUUUGUUUACAUUUAGCGUAACGGUUCGUUUCCGCCAUAAUGAUUUCAAAUAGGCUCAUUCGAAAAAGUAAAAGGAAAUAGUCUAAAGCUUUACUCUUCUGGGAAAGUCUGUGGCUUGGUCCAGUUUCUUCAGAAAAAUCACCGAAAGAAACAGUUUUUAAAUUUUCACUCCAUUCAGGUGCCAAUUCAUUUUCUUUAUCGCUGUCGGAGCUCUCGGAUUCACUGUUUUCACUUUCGGAAAAUGAAAUAUCAGAUUCAUUAUCAAAUACCACAUGCUUUUUUUUUUCAGUCAUAGAGUUAGAUUUAUGAAGGUCUUCAGUAGAAAAUCCUUCGAAUUCUGACUCGCUGCUUGAUAUAAUGAAAUUCGUAUCCAUUUUUUGUCAGAAUUACAAAUUUUGAAAACACAAUAGGAACAAAUUUCGGAAAAAAAUCUCCCAAAAUUCACGGAGUUAAAAUUACACUUCGAUUUUUGUACUAAACUGUAGUUGAACUCUUUACAAAGUAUAAUACGUAUUUUCACGAAUGUACUAAAGAGAUUUGCUUUGAUAUUCUCAUUUAAAUAUGAAUAGGUAAAUUCGGGCGGCUUUGGUCGGUUUGGUCACAUUAACCAAAUUUUUUUUCGGGCGGUUUGGUAAUGAAAGGGUUAAAGCUGCAUAACUUUUUUUCUAGCUGAUAUCUUUUAACAAGGCCUACACCAAAAAAUAUUCUACUUAUUGAGUUCUUUUAAAUAGUCAUAAUUAAAGUAUAGUUUUCCUGCUAAAUAACUGAGAAAUUACAAGUCAAAGUAAAUAUUAGGCAUUACUCUCCCAUUUUUGGCUCUACAUUUUUUAUCAUAACAUUUUUUCUACUGAACCAAAUUUCGAUUAUUUUAUGUCAAAAUGUAGCUUACCUUUGGCCCAACAAAGUGCAAAACACCAAAUUAAGAUUGAGCUAAAACUGAAUUAGUGGUAAAGUGUUAAAUUGGUGAGUAAAAGUUGGAAACAACAAAUUAUCAUUAUUUUCAUAACUUAAAGCUGGAUAACUUUUUUCUAUCUAAUAUCUUUUAACAGGGUUUUCACCAGAAGAAUCUACUCAUCAAGUACUUUUAAAAAAAUAUAAUGAAAGUAUAGUUUACUUUUGAAAUACCUGAGAUAUUUUGAGUCAAGAUCAGUUUUAGGCGUUACUUACCAAUUUUUGGCUACUUAGAACUGCAUAACUUUUUUUCCAUCUCAUGUCUUUUAGUGAGGUCUUCACCAAAAGAUUCUACUUAUUGAGUUCUUUUAUAAGGUUAUAAUUAGGGUAUAGUUUUCUUUUAAAUAACUGAGAAAUUAUGAGUCAAAGUAACUAUCGGGCAUUACUCUCCCAUUUUGAGCCCUACAUAUUUUAUCAUAACUUUUUUUCUGCUGAACCAAAUUUCAAUUAUUUUAUGUCAAAAUAUAGCUUACCAUUAGUUCAUCAUAGUGCAAAAUACCGAAUUAAGAUUGAGCUAAAAUUGAAUUAGUGGUAAAGCAUCAAAUUGGCUGCAAGUGAUUAAAAGUUGAUCUUAAUAUUAUUCACAUACUGCCAUGUGUGAAUAAUGUAUAAUAUAUUCAUCAUCCAGUGUUUUAAAUCCAAGUUUUGUCCCCAUUAACGGGAGUGACCAGAUCUACCUUGAUGUCAUAGCAACCGCCCUCAUACCAUCUCGUCAGGUUUUGGGCAUCCUCCUUUUUUCAAACCAACCCUCCCAAUCUCCUCCUCCACCUUUUCCUCAGUCUACCUUGCUUUUGUGCUCAAUUUUCCUCAAACACAAUCACCCUCCUCAGAACAUGCUCUUCAUCCCUCCUCAACAUAUGCCCAUACCACCUCUCUCCAUUUGACCUUGCCAACCAUUCUACUGAUUCCUUCAACCCUAGCAUUUCCAUCAAAUCCUCAGUCCUCCUCUUAUCAAACAGCUUCACCCCACACAUUUCUCUCACCAUUGCUCUCUUAGUCCUCAAAAUUACCAUCUCUCUCUCCUUCAGAUACCAUGUCUCAUUCCCAUACAACAUUGCAACAGCUCUCACACAACUCUUAUAGACCCUUCCUGAACUUCACCCAGCCACAUCUCACUCUUGCUGUCACAGCUGCUUCACAUCCACCACUUAUAUCCACUCUAUCUCCCAAAUAACAAAACCCUCUCACUAUUUCCACCUCAUCACAUAGUGUUUCCAUUGGUUCCACCAGCCCUCCAGCUCCUUUCUUACAUCUUCCAGAAACAAACUCUCUCACCAGUCUGGGGGUCACCUUCUUCAUUUUCGCACAUCUACCAUGAAUCCAUUUCUCACAUCUCAUACGCAACACCAUAUUUGCCAUUACACUCCUCCAACAUACACCACAUGGAUCCACCUUACACACUAACACUUCUUCCAUUCGCUCACUAUCACCUUUGUCUUCCUGAGGUUUACCUUCAAACCCUUACUUCCAUUUCCAAAACUUCUCCCUCAAUCCCUCCAUCAUCUCACUCAUCAGAACAAGGUCAUCCACAUACAGUAUCUCCAUUAUCAAUCCCUUCUUGCACUCUCCAUCACCACAUCAACCUCUGUUGCAAACAACAAUGGUGACAACACAGAUCCCUGAUGCACACCAACUUCCACCACAAACUCCAAUUCUAACUCUGAUCCAAUUCUUAUACUUGUCUUGUCUACAUAUUUCUCUCCUAUGACAUUAUGAUUCUCUCUGACACACUGUCUUGCAACACAAAACACUUUAAAUCUUUGGUCCUCAUGAUGCAGAACAUUGGCAAUUUUUUUCUUAUUUGCUUCUCCUCUAGCUAUGUAAACAUAUCUCCUAGCUUCCCUUCUGAUGAUAUGAUACAGUUCCCUGCUAUCACCAUUCUUCCAGUCCUUCCAUGCCUGUUUCUUUUCCCUAAUGGCCUUGUCAACUAUAUUGUUCCACCACCACAUUUACCUUAGGUUGGGAGGGGACUUUGCACCAUCCACAGAUCUGGUCAUUAGCCCUCAACAGGUUGUCACAUAGGAACCGCCAGUUGUCUUCCACAUUAUAUGAUGCUAUAUCCUCCUUUUUUGUGAAAAGUUUUGAGUAAUAUGUCUCUAAAUGUCUGUCCAUUCAGAGGAUCCUUAAGCUCCCAGACCCUUCUUUUCCAUGCUGGUCAUCUUCUGGGCAUCCAUUUAGCCCUGAUUCUCAAGUCACUGACUACUAACCUAUGUUGUGGGGUGCAUUCUUCACCUGAGAAGGUUUUGGCAUUUAUAAGUAGCCAUCUUUCCUGUUUCCUGGUGAGAAUGUAGUGAAUCUGACUAAUGUGUCCACCAGCCUGGUUGGUGAACAGGUGACUGGCAGGUUUCCUGAAGUUAGUAUUACAGACCAUAAGAUCAUUUGCAUCACAGAACUCCAGCAGCCUGGUUCCCUCUGCAUUGCGGGAACCAAAUAUAUAGCCACCAUGUACACCGUGGGAGCUCCCUGCUUAUUGUCCAACAUGCCCAUUGAAGUUGCCAUCCACAAUGAGAAGGUCCCUGUCAUUCAUUGAUGAGGUAGUCUGCAAGAGGGUAUCAUAAAAUCGGUCUUUCUGUUCAUCAGAUAGCCCUGGAUGAGGGGCAUAAGCUGAGAUAAUGGUUGCUAAUCCAUGUUGCAUCACUAAUCUAAGCUUAAGUAUUCUAUCACAGACUCUGACUACCUCGAUUACCAUAUCAAUCCAUUUCUUCACAAGAAGUAUACCCAUGCCUCCCACCCCAUCAGUGUUCCCUACCCAGAAAAUCUUAUACCUAUGUUCUUUGCCUGUGAGGAACCUAGCAGAAUGCCUUCUCUACCUUACUUCUUGGAUGCAGCACAAAUCUACACAUCUCCAUUCAAGUGUCUCAACAAUCUCACCAGACCUACCUUUCAAUGUGCCAACUCUGAAGGUGUGGAAAGCAUGGGCCUACGAGAUCCUGGGAUGAGAGACAGCAGCAGCAUGUAUCUGAAAUGAAAGCUCGGAUUUGGUAGAACUCAUAAACAUAGAAUAGCCUUCAACCUGCAUGCACUACACCAUCAUUUCAUGUGCUACAUAAUCACUACACUCCAUUUGAGAUAAACACUAAGUAGAGAUGGGGUAGCAUUUAAGUCAUUGGAGGUGUUCAGGGGAAAGACAUCCCAUAGAGGUCAGAGGAUAAAGACAUCCAGUAUAGGUGGGGGAGGGCGGGAUGGGCAGGCUCACCACAAACUAGCAAACACUCUGGCUGAUGGUGUGAAGAAAUAAUAAUAACAAUAAUGAGAUAGAACUGGACAUUUGCAUUCUUAACUAGAGCUAUAACCAACAGUAUUCGGUCAACCAAACUGUGACAAAAUUAGAUAAAUGAAUGAAUAACAAUAAUAAAUGAGUGUGAAAGAGAGGGAGAAAGAGGAAGAAUAGGGAUCUUAAGUUUUCUCUAACAUAUGGCAUGGAAGACGAAAUUGUGGGGAUAUAGAUAGAUAAUGAAAUAAUAAAGUAAUUAUAAUUUGUGCUUUAAAAGAGGUUCUUAGAUGUGUGCUUGGUUGGAAACAAAAGUCGCUUAUCUGAACAUCUUCUUUGACUUCUACUUUGUGUGGCAAGAUAUUAGAUUAUAAGGUAGGGGAAUCUGAAUAGAGCUAACGGAACUGAGUGUGAGAGAGAGAGAGAGACCAGAUUUGGCUGGCUGAAGACAAAACACGAGAUGAAAUUUUGGGGAUUUAGAGUAACGUAACUGAACGAUUAGAUUUAAUUUGCCAUCAUACAAACCACUAGGUGAAUAACACCACAAAACAGCAAACACUCUGGCUGCUGGUAUGGAGGAAUAACAAUAACGAGAUAGAAUUGGACAUUUGCAUUCUUAAAUAGAGCUAUAACCAACAGUAUUCGGUCAGACAAACUUUGACAAAAUUAGAUGAAUGAAUAACAAUAAUAAAUGAGCGUGAAAGAGUGGGAGAAGAUAGAAUUAGGAAGAAUUGGAUUGAACAUAGGGAUCUUAAGUUUUCUCUAACGUACAGCAUGGAAGAUGAAACUGUGGGUACAUAGAUGUAUACAUGCAUCCUUUUAUCCUUUUUUACUUGUUUCACUCGUCAUUUGACUGUGGCCAUGCUGGAGCAUUACCUCGAAUUGUUUUAGUUAAACAAAUCAACCUAGGACUUAUCGUUUUUUUAAGCCUAGUACAUAUUUUAUCAGUCUCUUUUGCUGAACCACUAAGUAAUGGGAAUGUAGUAAACACACCAACAUCAGUUAUCAAGCACUGAUGGAGAACAAACACAGACACAAAGACAUGCACAUAUAGAUACAUACAUACAUACAUACAUAUAUAUAUAUAUAUAUAUAUAUAUAUAUAUAUAUAUAUAUAUAUAUAUAGUGAGAAUUUACAAAAAAACAAAAGAGGAAAAUGGGUGUGUAAACAACAAACAGAUGUGUUAGUUUAACGCUCAGGAAGUGAGAAAGUCUUUUAUGUUUCGAGCUUACGCUCUUCGACAGACAGGAACACAGAAAUAAACAGGAAGAGAAAAUAGAAAAAGGCUUAGUGGCUAGCGAUCUAUCAUGGCAAAUGCUGGACAGAAGGGUUACACAGGAGAGUUAGGAAGAAGGGGAUAUAAUAAAGUAGUGGUGAUCCCAAAAUGAAGGUGCACGUGCAUGUAUGUGAGAGUGUGUGGGUGAUGGUGUAGGUGCUGGGAAGUGGUCAGUGCUAAUGUGUGCGCUGGUGUGGGUGUUGGGAAGUGGUCAGUGCUAGUGUGUGCGGGGUGGUGUGAUAUGGUGUGGUGGUGUUGGGAUGUAGGGGAAACAAGGGUUGAGGCCUAAGGGAUGGGAUGUAUAGGGAUGGUGGGGUAUAUAAUGAAAGAAAGAAAAUGGAGAAUUAUGAAUGUAUAAAUAAUAUAUUUAUAUGAUAUAGUAAGGUUGAAAGAUUUUUUUAUAGAAACAAAACAAAUAAAUUAUAAAGCUCUAAAAGAAAUGGUAGAUGCCAUUUUUGAAUUAUUUAAUCCCUAAUGAGGACCUGACAUCCUCAAAUUGACUGUAUAUAUAUGUGUGUGUAUGAUAGGCUUCUGUCAAUUUCCAUCUACCAAAUCCACUCACAAGGCAGUUGGCUUGAGGCUAUUGUAGAAGACACUUGCCUGAAGGUACCAUGCAGUAGGACUGAAUCCGGAACCAUGUGAUUGAGAAGCAAGCUUCUUACCACAUAACCAUGCUUGUAUAUACACUGGCCUAUAAUUAAUUUUUAACUGAAGGAGUAAAACAGUAAUCAUAUUCAAAGUUUAAUAACUCAAGAAACACCCUACAGAAUUGUCUGAAAAUUUGCACUAUUAUUUGGUAGAACCUCCUUUCACAAGUUUCACAGCUUUUACAGGGUCUUUUAUCAUUUUGACUAAGUUAGUGACAAUAGUUUGAUCCAUGUUAUUCCCUGUUUCCAAGAGAGUGCUUUUAAGGGCUGCCACAGACGUAACUUUGACAGAAUUAGCUCGAAUUUCUCUGUCAAGGUACUCCCAGACAUGCUCAAUUGGGUUCAAGUUGGGGCUUUGAGGUAUCCACUGAGGGACUUGAUGCCAUGCAUUUCUCUCCAGGCAUUUGAAACUUUGCUUGUAUGAUAUGGUGCUCCAUCUUCUUGAAAAAGAGGUGUUCUUAUCCAUUUUACCAGUGUUGUAAAUUGGAAGUAGUCCCUUUCCUAAUAUAGUAUUUUGGUCCAUCCAACAGGUUUUCCAUGGAAAUUAAUCAGAUUUCCUUUCUGCCCAGACAGCCCCACAAACCAUGACUCCAAUCCUGCCAUAUUUCAUGGUAUGUUACAAACAUUCAGCCUUCCAAGCUUCAGUUUUGUCUCUCCAUACAUAGACUUGCCUUGAAUUCGAAUAUUGGCAAAACUUACUUUCAUCUGGCCACACCACAGACUUUCAAAAUUCAGCUUCCUUGUCCUCAUGCUCCCAAGCCCAGUCACACCUUUUCCCCUUGUUGGUAUCUGAAAUCAAUGGUUUCUUUCUUGCAAUUCUUCUUUCAUAUGCUAGUUCUUUUAGGACUUUUCUUACAGAGUAGACAACAUUUCCAUGUUGGUUGUGACCUCUCUAAUGCUAAGAUGGCAGUUUCUGGCGGUUUCCCUCUUCAGUGCCCUCUUUUCUCUAUCUGAAACAAUAGUCAGCCUUCCAGAAUGAGGUUUCAUAUGACAUUGUCCUUCUUGAAACCUUUUGACAAUAUUAUUCAGUCUGAUAAUUUACCUUAAAAAACUUUAUUUCUCUGUUUGACUUUCUGCACUGAUGCCAUCCUAUGAUUUGCCCUCAUUUGGACUUGCUAAUUUGUGCGCUUCCUUUCACUCUCAUUGUGAAAUAUCAUUUGAAAAAUCUAUUACUCUGCAAAAGAUGAGAGAAAAUACAAUAUAAAAUCUAAGAAACCUGUUACAAAUCAUGACCUCUCAAAAAAUUAAGGUGGUUAAAAACUUAUCGUAGGCCACUGUGCGCAUGUGUGUGUGUAUAUAUAUAUAUAUAUAUAUAUAUAUAUAUAUAUAUAUAUAUAUAUAUAUAUAUAUACAUAUAUACAUAUAUUCUAUGUAUGUAUAUGUUCUUUUAUUCUUUUCAGCUCUAAGGCUGUGGCCAUGCUGGUGCAUCAGCAGUGUAAUCACCUUUUCAGUGGCCAAUGUUAUGUGAUUGGCUUUUGGUGAAGGAAGGAGUUGAACACUGUUGCCCUCUUUUGAGUUUCCUGCCUUGGUUCAUCUUGGACCUUGGAUAGCAGGCGGUCAAGUUGUUUCUUGAAAGCAUUUAUCCCUACUCCAUGAAGAUCACUCAGAUGUUUAGGCAAGGCAUUAAAUAGCUGUGGGCCCAAGCUGUUGUAUAUGGUCUUCAAGCUGUUGUAGUAUAUGGUCUUCACUCUACAUGGGAUAGCUGAGACUUUCGGAACUGUGCAGUGAUGUCCAGUUUGGGGGUUGGUAUAGCUCUUGAUACCAAUGUUUGGUGUCAGUCCCUCCAGGAUCUUCCAUACACAUAUCACUGCAUACCUCUCUCAUCUUCAUUCCAAAGAGUAGAGUUGUAGCUCUUUCAGUCUCUCCCAGUAGCUCAGCUGUUCCAUUGAUGCAAUCUUCCUGGUGUAGCACUGCUGAACUGCUUCAAAUUCUGCUAUUAAUCUGACACUGUAGGGUGACUACAGUUGAGAGCAGUACACCAGACAGCUGAGGACAAAUGUCCUCCAUACAACCAGCAUAGUUUCUUGGUCCCUUAUUUUGAAGGUUCUCAGAAUCCAUCUGGCCAUUGACCUGCACAUUUCUACUGUCUUCGUGAUUUGUGAAAUAAGGCAUCUUUGCUCAUAUCAAUCCCCAGGUCACACACUGUAUGUACUCUAGGAUUGCUGCUCAUUUUGGUCUAAAGUAUCAUUGCAGCUUGUGAGUACCAGUUAGCUGGUAGUUGAUGGCUUGGAAUUGACCUGCAUUAAAUUGCAUGAUGUUUUCUUCAGCCAUUUAUAUAUGGCAUCUAGGUCUUUCUGUACUGCUUUUGUAUCAUUGGCAUAACUAGUAAAUUAACACAGGCAAUAAAAAAUCCAGAUGACAUCGAAAGCUUACAGCAGGAUGUGAAUGAAAUAUAAAAGUGGGCUGAAGUAAACAACAUGCAACUUAAUGUUGGAAAAUUUCAAGCAAUGUGCUGUCAGCUCACAAAUGCACUGCAGCCUGCAUAUACAGGACCCAAAGACACUGCAAUCUCAGAGUCACAGGCAGUGAGAGACUUGGGGAUCAGUAUGUGCAAUGAUGCAUCAUUUCAUAUGCACCUUACCAAGAUAGUAGCAGAGUACUUUCAACAGGCAGGAUAGAUACUAAGGUCCUUCAAGACAAGAGACCAAGAAGCUAUAUUGACCCUGUGGAUGACCUUUGUUAUCAGCUGCCUGGACUACUGCUUUCAGCUCUAGUUGCCACAUAGUGUCAAACUAACAGCAGAGCUUGACGCGAUCCAAUGUCACUGUUGUGGUGAAAUCCUGACACUCCAGUGUCUGUACAAGUGAACUGUCCUAAACUUUAUAAAGGCGUAUGCAUACUGACAGUGUGACAUACAGUGUGGUAUUUGCAAUUGCAUUUGUGAAGACAGUCAUAGAAAUCAUUGAGAAAAGAUAUGUUUGUUACUGAUUUAGAUUUUGUAGUGUUAUAUCCAAACGCCGCAAAGAUAUAAGAGUCGCGACGAGAAAUUCGAAGCUCACUGUGAAUGUUCUUAGCAUGGAUGAACUAUUAGCUUCCGUGGUACAAUUGCAACAGCAACUACAACAACAACAACAAUAGCAACAGCAGUAACGGAAACUACAACAACAAGAACAACAGACAGCAACAACUGGUGCAACAGGAACAGCAACAGCAAAAUCAACAGUUGUUGGAAUUAUUGUUGCAGUCCAAAACACUUCAGGUUUGUUUUCGGCAGAUGGGGUUGCUAAUUCAACUGAAGAAUUUACUUAUAAUCCAGAAGGGAUUAUGUUUUCAGCAUACUUCAGAAGGUAUGAAGGAAUCUUCAAAGAAGAAUGUAGAAACUAGCAGACGAAAAGAAGGUAUGACUUCUUUUAAGGAAAUUGUCACCUGCAGAACAGGAAAAGUACUGUAAUUACAUCCUGCCGAGAAAACCAUCCGAAAUUUGUUUCAAGGAAACAACCUGUUAUCUAAGAUAUUCAGUGAAAGAAGUUCACUAUUUAAUAUUUGCUGGGAGUGCUUGAAUUUAAAAAAAAAAAAUAAUAAACUGAAGAUUUUGUCACAUAUGCCGGAAUCGUUAACAGAGAAUGUGAAAAAUUUAAACUAAACAGAUUAAUCCUGGACAUGUUCAAAUGUCUAAUCUUUGUACAAGGAUUACACUGUGCAACAAAUUUCAGGUUCAAAAAAAGUACAAGUUAAGUAAGACUUGUUUCUGGGUCAAAAAAUUCUCCUGAUUCUGAUUCUGACCUUUAUUUCUCUAGAUUAGGUACCGUUUUCCUGUACCAUGAACCAUAUGUUUUAUAAUAUACUGUAUAAUAUUGCGUAUUGAACACAUUAUUGCAAAUACUGAAAGUUACAAAAAACAAAACAAAAAUUUAGUUGGUAUAACAAAACAUAUAUUGGUUAUGAAUUAAAAACACACCUGUCAGUUUAAACAACUUUUGUCCCUCUAAGCCUCUUGUGCGGGGUGUGGUUUUCUGUUUUUUAUACCCCAGCAGUAGUCUGCCAACAUGCCAGGGUCCCAUUUUCUUUUGAAUCGUCACUCCAUCACUGAAAUAUCCUGAUAGAACCUUUCGCCAUGUUCAUCACUCACAUCACCAAGAUUUUCCGCAAAAAAUCCAAAUGAGAGUGAAGCACAUGAACUUUUAGAGACAUGUUACAUCCCAUAUCAUGGUAAUGACUCAGCAGAUCAUUCACAGUUUGCACAUAGUCUUCUGAACGAUGGUUGCCCAGGAAGUUAUCACAAACUUUCUUGAAUGACUCAAAUGCAAGUUUCUCUUUUCUCUUGAGAUGUGUGAUGAAGGUUUCAUCAAGUAUAAUUUUUUGAAUUUGGGGACCUACGAAGAAACCUUCUUUAAUUUUAGCUUGACUUAGGGAAGGGAACUUUUCUGCAAGAUAUUCAAAUGCGGAGGAUUCCUCGUCCAAGGCUUUCACAAAUUGCUUAAACAAACCAAGUUUGAUAUGCAAAAGUGGUAAAAAAAUUCUACCACUUUUCACAAGUGGUUUGUGUAUGAUGUUGUGUUUACCUUACUCAAUUUCAUCUUGGAUCGCCCAAUCCUUGCAUACAUAAUGUUCAGCUCUUGCUCUGAAAUUACAUGAGCACAGGAAAAAGCAGAAUUUAGUAUAGCCAAUUUGAAACUAACUCUACAGUAGCUGAAGAAUGCCAAAGCAUUAUAAAUUUAUAACAGGAUGCAGAAAAAAUUGGAAAAGAUUAUUCAAAUAUAUAUAUGUGUCAACCUGUAACAGAUAAGAAAAAAGAAAAAAACAAUAGUCAAAACCCAAACCAUGCUUUGGGUGUGGAGAAAUACAUUUUAAAAGAAACUGUCCUUUUAAAAAUUUUAAAUGUUUUGGAUGUGGAAAAAUCAGACAUAAGAAUUCACAUUAUUGGGUGAAAUAAAAAAGGUCGAACGAAAAAAUUUGACGGAAAAAGUAUUGUCAACACAAAUGCAAAAUGAGGCAGAAAAAAAAAGAAUAUUCAUCUCCAUAAAAAUAAAUAAUGUGAAUAUGAGACUACAGUUGGACACAGGUAGUGAUAUCAUGAUAAUUAAUGAUGAUACAUGGAGAAAAAUUGGAAAGCCUACAUUGAAAAAAUUUUUUUAAAUCACGUGUGGUAUUUCAGGGAAACAAUUGCAAUUUUUGGACGAAAUGAUAAGUGAGGUGACAUAUUAUGGAAAAACUUUGAAAGCCAAAGUUUUUGUAUUAAAAAAUAUGACAAACCUAUUUGGCACAGACUAGAUGGAACUAUUUAAUUUAGGGGACCUCCCCAUAAAUAUUUUUUGCUAUAAUGUAAACGGUUCUUAAUGCUAGUUCAAAUAAGGCAUUGGAGGAUUUAAAAAAGAAAUUGGAAAAGAUUUUUCCUGAUGUUUUUUCUGAAUAAUUAGGUAGGUGCACCAAGACAAAAAUAAAAUUUCAAAUGAAAGAAAACACUGUGCCGGUAUUUAAGCCAAAGCAAGCUGUACCUUUCAUGGCACUGAAUCAAGUCAACGAGGAAUUGGAUAGACUUGAAAAGCUUGGAGUUAUAGAAAAAUUUGAUUAUUUAGAAUGCGCAUCACCAACUGUUGAUGCAAAGAAAAGAAAAUACGAGUAUGUACUGACUUUUCAACAGGCUUGAACGAAUGUUUGUUGAGUUGACAUACAAUUACCCAUUACCAGGUCCAGAGGAAAUUUUUGCAAAACUCAGUGGAGGAAAAUUUUUUUUCAAAGUUGGAUUUGUUGGAGGCAUAUUUACAUUUACAAGUCGAGGAGGAAUGUUCAAAAUUCUUAACAAUAAACACCCAUAAAGGUUUAUAUAAAUUCAAUCAACUUCUUUUUGGGAUAAAGGUUGCACCUAGUAUUUUCCAACACGUGCUGGACACUAUGCUUGUAGAUACGGAUUUCGCUAUAGCUUACUUGGAUGACAUACCCAUAAAAAGUGAGUUUCGAGGCCAGCAUGAGGAACAUGUUAAAAAUGUCUUUGCAAGAAUAAAGGAGUAUGGAUUUAAAGUUAGCGAGGGAAAAUGCAAAUUUUUCAUGCCAGAAAUAAAGUAUCUAGUGCAAGUUAUCGAUAAAAAUGGUCACAGGCCAGAUCCUUCAAGAUCAACUGCAAUAAAAAAUAUGCCUACCCUGAAAAAUAUUACAUUACAAGCAUUAUUGGGGCUUGCAAACUAUUACCAAACAUAUAUACUGAAAAUGCAUGAGCUAAGAGCACCCCUAAAUAACCUAUUGAAAAAAGACGUUAAAUGGUAUUGGUUGGACAGGUGCCAAAAAGCGCUUGAAGAAACAAAAAUGUGUUAACAUCGGAAAUGUCAUUAACGCACUUUGAUCCAAAUUUAACAAUAGUAGUAGCAUCAGAUGCCAGAGAAAGUGGUAUAGAAGCGAUAAUUUUACACAAGUAUGAAAGUAGUGUAAAACCCAUCGCUCAUGCUUCAUGUUCAUUGAUGGCAGCUGAAAAACUACAGCCAAAUUAAGAAGGCAUUAGCCAUUAUUUUUGCAGUGAAAAAAUUUCACAAAUUUAUACAUGGAAGGAAAUUUAGUCUGCAAACAGAUCACUGCCCAUUGUUGUCAAUUUAUGGAUCGUGAAAGAGUAUCCCCACAUAUACAGCCAACCAAUUGCUGCGCUGGGGUACAAUCCUGCUAAAUUAUGACUUUAAGAUGGAAUUUCUACCAUCGUAAAAACUGUGACAUGCGGAUUGAUACCUAAAUACAAUGAACCAUUAGAGGACACAGUAAUAGCAGCAUUAAAAGUUGAAAUCGAAAUAAAAAAAUAUACACUGCAACAUAGUAUAUAUAUAUAUAUAAUAUCUAUGUUAUAUAUGUCAUCAUCAUCAUCCUUUAAUGUCUGUUUUUCCAUCCAUGCUGGCAUGAGCUGGACGAUUUGACUGGAGCUAAGAAGCUGCACCAGGUUCCAGUCUGAUUUGGCUUGGUUUCUAUGGUUGGAUGCCCUUCCUAACACCAACCAUUUCAUAGUGUGUGCUGGGUGCUUUAAAUGUGCCACCAGCGUGCUUUAUAUGUGACUCUGACACAAAACUUUUCACCAGGAGAUGUAGCCUUAACACUUCUUCUAUGGAAGACAGAUCUUCUUGAGUACAACAAAACACCAAGUGUUUUGGUUCUUGGUCUGCUCAUCCAAAAGGUUCAGCGUUCUGAAGUCAAUCCUUCAGUAUUUUGUCCCAUGUCUUCCUGGGUCUCCCUCUUCCACAAAUUCUAUCCACUUUCAGAGAUUGGCACUUCUUUUUGGAGCCAUCAGCAUCCAUUCACAUCAUAUGACCAAACUAACACUGUCUUCUCUCUUGCCCACUGCAUCUAAUUCCUCUUAUUCCUAACUUCUCUCUCAAUACACUAACACUCUGUCACAUGUGUACACUUGCAUUACACAUCCUGCAGAGCACACUAGCCUCAUUUCUCUCUAGCCUUCACAUGACCUUUGCAUUCAGGGCCCAUGUCUUACUACCAUAUAGAAUUUCUAUUCAUAUGUAUGUAUCAUACAAUUUUCCAUUCAUUCAGAGAGAGAAACCUUUGGUUGCCAACAGAAGUAAAAGCUCUCUGAAUUUUCUCCACCCUAUUCUUAUUCUAACUAUUACACACUUUGUAUAGCCACCCUGACUACUAAUGUCGUCCCCUAGGUAGCAAAAAUAUUUUUGUCUCUUGUGAAUCUUCCACAUAGGAACACUACUUUUGCUGAUAGCCUUCCUAUUAUUCCACUGCACCUGUUGUGUGUCCAUAGCUUACACUGGGUAGACCAUAUGAAAUUCCUACCUACACCUUUCCUACUAAUCAAGCUGGGCCACUUUAUCUGAAGUGGGUAGGAUCCUGUUAGUUUUCAUCUUUAAUAAGACCUUAGUCUUUGCUAAGUUAAUCUUAAGUCCUUUAGAUUCCAGGUUUUGCUUCCACAUGUGGAAUUUCUUUUCUAGCAAUGAUACAGAAUCUGCUAGGAGGGCAAGACUGUCAGCAUAUAGUUGUGACCAGGAGCCAUCAAUCUUGAAUUCCUUUGUUAUGACCUAGAGGACAAUGAUGAAAAAUAGGGGACUGAGGACUGAGCCUUGAUGAAUCCCUACCUGUACAUCAAAUUCUUCACAUUACUUGUGGUUAAUUCUCACCUUACUGACAGUGCCCCUAAAAAUAGGCUGUACAGCUUUCACAAGCUACUCAUCCAUUCCUGGCCUCCUCAGAGCCCACCAUAUCACACAGUGGGGAACUCUGUCAAAGACUUUCUCUAGAUCAACAAAUGCCAAGUGUAAUGGUUUAUUCUUGGCUAAGUAUUUCUCUUGCAAUUGCUUGGCAAUGAAAAUAGCAUCAGUAGUGCUUUUCCCCAGGGCAAAACCAAACUGCAUUUCAUUUAGCUUAACUCUGUUUCUAAUUAAUUGUGCUGUAACUCUCUUUGUAAUUUUCAUUACCUGGUCCAGAAGUUUGAUACCUCUAUAAAUGCUUCUAGCUAAGGCAUUUUCCUUACCCUUGUAGCAGCUAACAAUAUGCAGGUAACUAUUCCGUAUCCUACCUUGCCAGAUAUUUGGAGUAUCUCAGCAGUGACUCCAGAUGGACCAGGGUUCUUCUUUGUUAUUAUAUCUUUAAUUGCCUUACCUACCAUACUGCUGUCCACUAAGAUAGCUGGUCCCUCAGUUUAGUUCACAUGAGGGAGACUCCUUUUAUCCCAUUCAUUCUCAACAUUCAAUAGCCUUGCAUAGUAACUCUUCCACACUUUUUUCUUGUCUGAAUUCUAAGUGCAAACAUACCAUUAUUCAUGCAUAUACACUUCUCUCCCACAAUAUCCUGAUUCUCUCUGACACACUGACUCACAAUCUGGAACACCCCAUGUCUCUGAUCUUCAAGUUGUAGGGCAUUGGCAAACCUCUUCCUUUCCGCUUUUAUGUUAACUAGGUAAGCUGACGUCUCACUUCCCUUUUAGCUUCUUGAAAUGAUUUCUGCUACCCACUCUUUUCCAUUCUUUCCAGACCCAUCUCUUCUCUUUUGUGGCCCUAUCAACAUCACUGUUCUACUACCAUGUCACCCUGGUCUGGAAGAAGCUUUGCUCCCACCACAGAUUUGGUCUGUCACCCUCAGUCGAUUGUCUCAUAGGAACUUCCAGUUGUCUUCUACAUCUUAUAUCUCUAUCUCUUCCUCCUUCUCAUCAAAAGCUUUAUUAAGAACAUCUCUAAAUCUCUGCCCAUUUGGAGGAUCCUUGAGCUUCCACAACCUCCUUUUCUAUAUUGGUUUGUGUCACUGCAUCCUUCUGGCUCUAAGUAUGAAGUCACUAAUCACUACCCUAUGCUGCACUGUACAUUCUUCCUCCAGGAAAGAUUUUGCAUUUACUAGCAUACACUUGUUCCUGUGUCUCUUGGGAAUGUAGUUGAUUUAGCUGGUGUGCCCACCAGAUUGGUAAGUGAUCAGAUGGUUGGCAGGUUUCCUGAAGUAGGUGUUGCAGACUAAUAUGUCAUGAGCAUCACAAGACCCCAGCAGCCUUGUCCCCUUCUCAUUUUUGGAGCCAACACUCUGAAAUUCAUUGGGGUGUCUUCCAACAUGUCCAUUGAAGUCCCCUCCCAUAAUGAGUACCUCCUUGUCUUUUGUUAUCCUGCUGCCCUAAUAACAAGAGAUAUAAAGCUGAAAGUGUAUCUUGAGUACGCCUUAUCAAUGGUCCACUCCUGUAUUUUUCUUACCAAAUUGGCAUUUAGGAAGCUGCUGAUUUCCACAGAGCAUAUUUUUGUUUUGGUUUCCAAUCCAACAAUAUCUGACUGGUUGCAUUUUUAACUUGGUGACUAUUGUAAUUUUUAAGCUCUGCCAAUAUUCUUUUGACCCAUGUGUCUUAAUAUAGUCAACUUUGUCUGCUGGCAUUGUCUUUUCCUAACCUGUUCUAGACCGUUCUGCCACUAUAUCAUUCCUCAUGGGAAGGUAUUUGGAAGACGUUCUCUUGCAGUUGGCAAUAAUGUGGUUGAUGAAUUCAGUCUUGGUUUUACACAGCGUACGUUUGUUGUCUGUCAAUCUUUUCUGCUUUUUAUGUUGUGCCAAACACCCUUGUACUACCUUUUCAGUGAACUGGUUCAUUUUUAAACUUUGUUCUUCUGAUGAAUAGAAUUGAUCAAUGCCCCUUGGAGAGAGAUGUGUAUCAGUUCUUACUUCACCUCAAGCCAUCCUAAUUAUGUUGUUGAUUUCAUAGCCUCAAACUUGGACAAGAUAGUUACUGGCCUCUUUCCCCUACCGUGGAUAUUGUUUUAGUGCCACAAUAUGUGCUUUAUAUGACAUCAAAACAGAUUUAAGACUAUGGCCACCAUCCUUUUGUGGGAAGUAUAGCCUGUUUACAUCUUCACUGAUGUUGAAAUUUCCAGUUAUACUGAGAGCUUGUAAGUUUGUACACUUAUCUUAUCAAGUUAUUGUAGUGACCAAUUCAGAAAGUCAAAUGUAGGCAUGCGAACAGGCUCUGCAAAUGUGUUGUGAGCAAUAUGCUUAUUGUAAGCAGAGAAUUCAGAUGACUGUAUUUUUUUAUCCUCUUGAGGUACUCAUUCCUUAUUCUCUCCUUAUUGAUAGGUCCAUCAUAGCUGAGAUUCUCAUCCUGUCCAAGUAUCUGUAGCUUUUUUCAGAGAGUAGACGCUGUAUUUCUAGGUUAUUUAUGUUUCAUGUCUUAGAUGAAAGCACAAGUUUGCUGCAUUUUACCACCAAUAAUGCACAUUUAGACUAAUCAAAUUUUAUUCCAAUGUCUUUGUGUUAUGAGAUCCAGUUUUUGAAGUGGUUAUUAUUUGGCUCAUACAGCUUCAAGUCAUCAACAAAGGAAAGUUAAAACUGUUGUUGGAUCUAUUCCUAUAGUUGCUGUGUUUUGUGAUUAGGUAAGGCAUGGGGUUCAGUGAGUGUACAAAGAGUUGUACUGACAGAUUAUUGCCCCAAAGGAUGCCUUUUUGGAAGUAUAGUGUCAGAUUUGAUGUUUUCAUUAUCACUUCAAAGAAGUAAGAUGUACCAUUUUUUGGUUAGGUAGUGGAUAGUACUUUGGUUAAUUGCAAGUGCCUUGAUUAUCCACCCAUGUGGUAUACUAUCAAAGGCUUUUGGUUGUCCAACCACACUGUAGGUAAGUUUCUUCAAAUCUUUAUUGUUCUUUCAUGUGUCAUUUUGUCAAUCAGUAUGUGCUCAAUACAUCCCCACACUUCCUUCUUCCCUCCAGCUUGUUCUGUGGUUACAAUAUUGCUUGUGUUACAGUGAUGCUGUGAAAACAAGUUGAGGCAACCUGUGUACAUCUUAUACAUGAAUUUUUGACUAGCUACUUUUAGUUUCAGUGGUUUGGCUAUUUUGGGGAUGAGAAAGUUGACGGAUGGUUGACAGACAUAUAGAUAUAUUUAGUGUGCCCUUGAUACUCUUUCCAAACUGUGUUGUUAAAUUUCUUGAUAAAGGUUGAGAUUCUUUUUAACCAAUAUCCUAUAAUAAGAUCUGGGUCAAGAGAUUCAACGUUUGGUACUUUUUCAGGUGUGUUUCUGGUACUGCACUAUUGAUUUCAUAAAAGUUUUGUUUCACAUGCUUUCAGUAUUCCUGUUUGAAUUCCUCAUCCAUUCAACCUUUUUAUUGAAUCCAUCAUUCCUUUUCCAAAUUGAUUUGCAGUAACUUUCCACUUGUUCAGUCAAGGGGUUGUUUUUUACUGAUUUUGUGUUAUUUUGGUUGAUUUGGGACUGAUUUGGGAACACUCUGAAAUAAUAUAUUCAGUGUUUUCCAUUUAUAUUCUGCAGAUUUGUAUUUCAAUUUCUCAGCUGUUGCUGUUCUUGUUUCUGCUGACGAAGUUUGGAAUUUUAGGUUUAGGUUUUUGAGUCCCCAAACUGCUUUCCUAGUUUAUCUUUUAACUGUUUCUGAUGUUUUGUGAAUUUAUUGAGAGUGGAACACUUCAUAACUAAGAUGAUCUGUGAGAUAGUUUUUCAAAGAAUCAGAAUUUUAUUUUUCAAGCUGUGAGCUCAGCUCUGAAUGUUUAACCCCUGUCUUUAUUGAACAACUUCAGUUACUUAUGGUAGGCUAACAAUGUUAUUGCUGACUCAUAUAGCAAAAGAUUUAUAGCUUUGUAUGUGAGUUUUAAUUCAAUACACAUUAAAUUAGUUUUCUGUUAUUGUAUUAAUUACUUCCAGUUCCAAUUUAAAAGGCUUUUUUUUGUGUUUGUUUUAAAUGGCUUGUUUUUAAAGUUAAUGUUUUCAACCUACUUAACAUCAUAUCUUCCCACACCAGUUUUACAAAAUUUAUAAUAUUUCAAUAUUCUCCUGUUUUGUUUGAAGAAGCUAUCAUUUGGCUGCUUUUGUUUUCUAGCAGGCUGAGUAUUUCACUGUGAUUGCUUUUUGUUGUUGAUAGUGAUGGUAUUGUUGUAUGUUCUUUAAAUGUCUCAGUGUGGGAGAAGCUGGUUGACCACUGCUACUACUAUCCAGUUUGUAUGUAUGUUCUUUUUAUUAAUUAGUUUAUUUCUAGUUUCUUGCCAAUACAGGCAGAACCGGUUUCUAAUCUAGAUUGAAGCCUCUUUUAUUGGAAUUUUAACAACAUCGACAGAGUAGUUUUGUGUAUAAUGUUUAAGUAUUUGGAGUCAAUGCAUGUGUAGAAGGAUCUAGUUGGUUUGGCUGCCAGCAUCACUUCUGUUCAAAUUGAUUCAUAUUCAGUGUAAUGGUACACUUUUAUUGGCCGAUGAAUGAUAUGAAAAUCAAUUUCGCUAUAGAUCAAUAAAUAAAAAGUUAUUAGCAAUUAAAGUUUGAAAGUUUUGGUAAUUUUAGCCAAUUGUAAGCCACAGACACAUUCAUGCCUGUUUCCAUAGAAACAAGUAGAACAUGAGAACUCUUUUGUCUGCGAGAAAGCAUGUAUUGACAAAUACAUUGAAAUCACUUGUUUUACCUAUCUGAUGACAAUUGAGCAUAUGAAUUUAGGUGGCGCAGGAGAUAUGAAAAUUGUGAUUUGUGUGAGAAAUUGAUUGAAUGCAUUUUUAACUUUUGCUUUCAAUGAACUGGUCAACAAAAUGUUUGUUUUUUUAAAAAUAUUUGACUUGUAAAGUACUAUUUUGUUUUUAGAUAAAUCUUUUAAGUUCAUGCUGUUACAUUAAAUUCAUAUUGAAUGCUUCAAACUGCAAAACACAUGUUGUUUACAAAUAUUGACAACAUAUGCUAUUUUCAGGAUGUUGAUGACAAAAUGUGCAGUCAGGCACAAAAUGACAGCUUCCAAAUCCUGUUUCCUAACUAGGUGAAAAUGAUCAAACUUUAAACUUUUAUAACUUUUUAAAAGCAUUUAUCUGGAAAAAGUGAACUAACUCCAGUGAUUCAGCUUGGAAAAGUAUAUUAUUGUGCCAAAUUUUAAAAUUUUCAAUAAACUUUAUCCAACUAGAUCCAUGAAGAACUAUAUGUUUUGUUAUAUAUCCAAAUAGGAGUGGAGGUGGUAAAAUCCAGGCUACAUAUGUUUUCUAGCUAGCAGAAAUAAUAAUUGAUCAACGAAGCGAACUCCACUGGCUACUCAUCAGGCCAAAGAUAGUUUAGUUAUAUGAAAGUUACAUUGUUGUUAAAGAAUCCCAAGUUAACUCACCAGAGAUAUAAUUUGAAAUGAGUGGUGAAGCCAGAAGAAAGAACUAAAAUAACAAAAUAGAAAAAUGUGUUAAGAAAUAAAAUGGUCAGUAAGAGAAAAGAAGGAAGAGGCAAAGAAUUUGGGAAUGAGCAAUUGUCUAAAAUUCUUAAGAAUAAAGAAAAGGAGAUUGGGGAGAAGGGGAAAUUUAGGUUAGAUUGAUGCUGACUUUAGCGGAAGGUCAUUGUGAAUAUUAAGCUGGGUUCACUCUAUUAUGUUAAUGGUAAAUAAAUAUAUUGUUGCAUCCAUUUAGACAGAAAAAAAGAAAAGAAAAGAAUAUUUAGGAGUGAGAAUAAGGUGGAUUUGCUAGGAGAAAGGAAAGGAGGGAGAAGAGAGUGAGAUGGGAGAUUAAGGUUGUAUUCCCCUGUUAUUAGAGGAACAUAACAGUUCGAGUUAAAUUGGUGGCUUGCUACUUAGCAGUAAAACUACACAUUUGCAUACCCAUGCACAUAUGCAUUCAUUUACUGUGCACCUAUAAUAUCCCUAUAGGUGUGCUUGUGCAUGUACAUGACUGCAUAUCUUCACGCAGAGAGAAAGAUUACAGAGUUAAGAAAAUAUAAAGGUAGCUAAUAACAAAAUUUCAUGUUAUAAAUACAAAGAAGAGCUUCAAGUGGAGGGUGGGAAUGCAGGAGGAUUAGUUAUGGAAUAAUUGGGGAGGGCACUAUUAUUUGUAUCUUAAGAAUGUAUUACAUAACUUGUGUUUGCAAUUAAGAAUUAGGUUGCUUCGUUCAUUAUUGCAUUGCAUAGCAGAUAAGACAUCAAUGAUGUAGAGAUUGCAUUAGUUGUUAUAACUGUUAUAUGGUUUGGUAUUGGUAAUGAUGGACCAUUUUAAAUUGUAUAAAACUGAGUUUUGUUUUAGGUUAUGAAUGAGCCUAGAUAAAGAAGUGCUGUUAGUUUUCACUUGAUAUUUAAAGCUAAUAUAGUGGUUACCAACUCUGACUUAGAAGGUUGUGCUGCACAAGCCAAUAUAUACAUAUUUGAAAUCUCCUGUGGAUACCAUAUAUUUAUAUACGAUAUGUUUUGUGAGGCAUCUAUUUUCCAAGGGACAGGUGGUGGGGCAUCUAUAGCUGCAUAGGAUUCUAGAAAGUGUUAAAGUGGAGUUUGCGGAGUUAUGAUUACCUGGGGUUAACCUGGUGUUAUUUGCAGUAUCUGCAGUGGUUUUAGGAUUGAUAUUUUUAUGGGGUAGAGAGGGAUUAUACUGGCAGUGUUGGUUGUGGUAGAGUAAGAGAAUUUAAUAGAUUGGGGGUUGAAGAUUUUCUUCAGAUUACUGGACCUAGAGAAAUAUUUUUCAAGUCGAACAAAGGAACGCUUAGGUACUCUGGUCUGAACAUUAAGGGCAAAGUGGGGGUGAAACCAGAUAACAUUGCAUGUCCUAGUCCACUUAUUCUGUUCUAGGGGGUUACCUGAGUAUGGCUUGGGGUAGGGAGGUGUGGAUUUCAAUGGGCAGUGGCAGAUUUGGGAUCCAGAAUCCCAGGGUGAGAGGAGUGCCUAUUGGGUUUGCAAUUACAGUAAAAUUUGGACAGAUAUGGGAAGGGAGGAAUACAGGGGAUAGUACAGGUUCUAUCUAAUGGGGCAGAUGUAUCUGCAGUCCCAGGUUCAGUGGAAGAAGGAUCACUCCAUAUAAGAAGGGAUCUAAUCAGAUUUUGUUGUAAUAUUCAGCAUAAUGCUUGAAUAUCUCUUUAAUAGUGGAUAGGGAUGAGAUCCUACAAGACACACUGUCACCAAUGGAUUUUAGGACGAGCGGGUUGAUUUGAGGAAAAGUUAACAUAAUUAAAGUUCUCCUGGGGUUUAUAGUAUGGAUAGGUGUUGUUUUGUAAAUCUAGAGUGACAUUUAGGAAAUUAGCAGUUUUAAUAUUAGAAGUGAAAGAGACACUAAGGUUCAUGUUUUUAAAGAAUCUGAUUCUGUUCCUAAAUUGUUCUACCUCACAGCUACUAGAGUCUGGGAUUGCAAACAGAGUGUUGUCCUUAUAUAGACCACUGAAAAUAUUAGGGAAUUGGUCCUGGAGGCAAUGGAGCAGGUAACAACUCACUAAGUGGGUAACUUAAGCUGAGUCACUUUCCUCCAUUGGGGUGUUGUAGUAGUUAGGGGUAUCCUUGCGGGUCCAAAAUUUUCCAUUGCAUUUUAUAGUAGUUAAAUGGAUUGCCAGGAUAAUACUGAUAUCACCUCUAGUCAGGUCAGAUUAUUUUAGUGCAAAUAUGAGGGCUUUGUUAAGUAGGAUAGGAGAUACACUGGAAUAGUAUUGGUGUAUACUUACUUGAAUGAAUUCGUGUUUACUUUUGGGACUUAGAAUUUAAACCAUUGGAUGGUUUCAGUGAUGUUAGUCCAGAGGUUUAGUGUAAUCUUAGAUUGAAGGUGGGGUAGAAUUCUAAUCUAACAUUACUAAUCCUACUUACAUCAGAGCUUGAGGAGCAAAUGAGGCAAACGGAAGGGUUUGCAGCAAAAUUUCCCAUAUUGUCUUUUAAGUUUAUAUGGAGUGGUCAAGGUUUGAAAGGUUUGAAAGCUGAGUUUAAAGACAAGACCUUGAGUUUUGAGGUAGAUAUCUCUCAGGUUCAGGUUGGUACAAUUUGGUAGCUCUUGUGCAGAUGUUUAAGUAUCAAUUGCUUGUAGGUAUCCAGUGGCAUGUUGUAUAGGUCAUUUUAUUAUAUAUAUAUGUGUGUGUAUACCAUACACACAAUUGCAUGUCUAGACAUGUGCAUAUGUACUUCUAUGCUUAACUCUUGGAAAGUUUUAAUGUUUUUUUGACAGUUUCAAUUAAUGGCUUGUAUUUGUAGUCUUCUAAUUAGUUUUCUCCUUUCUAGUUUUGAGGACCCUAAUCUCUCUGGUAGUUGGUUACAUAUCCUAGUGUCCCAAUAAUUACGAAUAUAAAUCUGAACUUGUAAUCCAAGUAGACUAACUGUAAGUUUCUCAGUAGUUCAAUGGAGGUAUUUUCUGUUUUAUGUUGACAUUCACUGGGCAACUGAUUUCCAGUACUGUACAUAGAUUUUCCUCCCUUUUCAAAUCAUUAUGUCUAAUUUAUUAUGUUUGCAUUUUAUUGAGGUUUUCACAAGGGUAUUCUGCUAUUACUCUUUCAUAUCUAUUAUAUAAAAUGCGUUCUGUCUGUCUGUGUGUGUGUCUUCUAGGAUCUCGGGCAUCCCCCAUCUGAUUGUGCUCAAAUUUGAUAUGUAGAUACCGACGGUAUCAGGGCAUGUGUAAGUUUUGAAAAAAUUACAAAAAUUGAUUCCAGGUAAGAAUGCAAUCGAUAAAGCCGUGGGAACGUGCAUUUGUACAUGUAAAUACAUCAUGGAUGACAUUCUCAAGGCAAAAGUUAUCACGGGUCAAGGAGCAGGGAAUGUUGUUUUUAUUUCCUGCAUGCCAUUGAUUCCGUUGGACUGUGUUUACCAGAUGAAAUGCAUUCAAAUCCCUAUUCACCUGAGCUUCGCGAUGACCAUCAACAAAGCGCAGGGGCAGUCAUUGAAAGUCGUGGGAUUGGACCUCAGCACUCCCUGCUUUUCGCACGGACAACUUUAUGUGGGCUGUUUGACAAACCUUUUCUACUACGCUCUAGACAGGGUAACAAGGAAUGUGGUUUACAAGGCUGUGCUCCACUAGCUUUUCCAUGCCCUUGAACAUCCCGUAAAAUAAGUUAACUUAAAAUUAGUUACUUAGUUCCUUAGGUUGUUGCUUUUCAUAAAAAAUCACCCCAAGUUGAUUUCCUAUAUGUUUUAUUGGAUAAACUUAUUAUUGUCCCAGGUACGUUUUCAUAAAUUCAUCAUCCUUUUCCAUCUAGAUUUGCCUCCAGCUAACCCAUUUGCAUGCAUUGUUUUUGUCUUGCUUUUCUUCCGUCAACCUGUACAUAACUGCACCUUCUAUUUUUGUUGUUUUUGUACUGCUUAAAGGCACAUUUCUUUCUUGCAAAGCUUACUGUUUAAACCAUGUUUGUGUUCUCCCAGUCAACAGCCUUAUCAUUUACUGGUACUUUAAACUCUUCGGUUGCAUAUUUGUGUGAAUAAAAUCGUUUUUCUUUGGAAUAGAAAAAAGUCUAUCUUUAUUUCUUCUUUUGCUGGUGUCUCAAAUUUAGAUUAAAUCAGUGUUUCUCAAAGGGGAGGCUAUGGGAUGGUUGAACAAGUUGUUUUGAGAAAAUUUGGUUUAAAUGUUUGACAACUCAGCACCAUCCAUAUAUUUUGCUCGUAUAUAUAUAUAUAUAUAUAUAUAGGCUACUUUCAAGCCUUCGCCAUAACUUGAUUUAUCUUUCCUAUCUCUCUCUCUCUACGAAAUUUAACCUUAGGCUACCUCAAGCCGUAAUCCCAUCUUUUCCCAUCUUUCCGCCAUUGGCGGUCUUUCCUCCUCUUCUUCUUCUUAUGCUAAAACUUGAAAAUCGCCAUUACCAUUACGAUUCUGCAAUUUAAAUUCCCAAUUCAACUUACUUUCUUCUUCAAUUUCAACUCCCGGUCGAUGCCCACAGCAAGUUCUUAAAAAAUUUAUCUUACUAUUUUUAUUCGUUGUUACUACGUUUAUUCAUACAUUGAUAACUUGAUUCGUCUUACCCAUCGAAAAUUUACGAAAAUUUAACCUUUUAGGCUACUUUCAAGCCUUCGCCAUAACUUGAUUUAUCUUUCCUAUCUCUCUCUCUCUACGAAAUUUAACCUUAGGCUACCUCAAGCCGUAAUCCCAUCUUUUCCCAUCUUUCCGCCAUUGGCGGUCUUUCCUCCUCUUCUUCUUCUUAUGCUAAAACUUGAAAAUCGCCAUUACCAUUACGAUUCUGCAAUUUAAAUUCCCAAUUCAACUUACUUUCUUCUUCAAUUUCAACUCCCGGUCGAUGCCCGCAGCAAGUUCUUAAAAAAUUUAUCGUACUAUUUUUAUUCGUUGUUACUACGUUUAUUCAUACAUUGAUAACUUGAUUCGUCUUACCCAUCGAAAAUUUACGAAAAUUUAACCUUUUAGGCUACUUUCAAGCCUUCGCCAUAACUUGAUUUAUCUUUCCUAUCUCUCUCUCUCACGAAAUUUAACCUUAGGCUACCUCAAGCCGUAAUCCCAUCUUUUCCCAUCUUUCCGCCAUUGGCGGUCUUUCCUCCUCUUCUUCUUCUUAUGCUAAAACUUGAAAAUCGCCAUUACCAUUACGAUUCUGCAAUUUAAAUUCCCAAUUCAACUUACUUUCUUCUUCAAUUUCAACUCCCGGUCGAUGCCCGCAGCAAGUUCUUAAAAAAUUUAUCUUACUAUUUUUAUUCGUUGUUACUACGUUUAUUCAUACAUUGAUAACUUGAUUCGUCUUACCCAUCGAAAAUUUACGAAAAUUUAACCUUUUAGGCUACUUUCAAGCCUUCGCCAUAACUUGAUUUAUCUUUCCUAUCUCUCUCUCUCUACGAAAUUUAACCUUAGGCUACCUCAAGCUGUAAUCCCAUCUUUUCCCAUCUUUCCGCCAUUGGCGGUCUUUCCUCCUCUUCUUCUUCUUAUGCUAAAACUUGAAAAUCGCCAUUACCAUUACGAUUCUGCAAUUUAAAUUCCCAAUUCAACUUACUUUCUUCUUCAAUUUCAACUCCCGGUCGAUGCCCGCAGCAAGUUCUUAAAAAAUUUAUCUUACUAUUUUUAUUCGUUGUUACUACGUUUAUUCAUACAUUGAUAACUUGAUUCGUCUUACCCAUCGAAAAUUUACGAAAAUUUAACCUUUUAGGCUACUUUCAAGCCUUCACCAUAACUUGAUUUAUCUUUCCUAUCUCUCUCUCUCUACGAAAUUUAACCUUAGGCUACCUCAAGCCGUAAUCCCAUCUUUUCCCAUCUUUCCGCCAUUGGCGGUGCGAUCGCCCCCCCCCCCCACCACCAAUACCGAUGAACACUGUUCUCACCCCCACCACCAAUACCGGUGAACACUGUUCUCACCACCAAUACCGGUGAACACUGUUCUCACCGCCACCACCAAUACCGGUGAACACUGUUCUCACCCCCACCACCAAUACCAGUAUACCCUGUUCUCACCAUCUACACCGGAUACGCCCUACUCAUCUACACCGGAUACGCCCUACUCCCUCCUCCUCCCCCCACUACCCCUUCUCCUCAUAUGCUUUCACUGUGAAAAGACAAGCUGCUAGCGCCAUAGCUCAUCAACUGCCCACCGAUCUUACGCUUCCUCCUGACACUGCCUCAAUCCGACCAUCCCCUUUUAGUACCCUCCCGCCUCGUAAUAUCCUACGUUUUUAUUUCUUAGGAACCUACACCAACCCUUCGGCCAUCGUUCCUCCUUACCCCAACCUUCCCCACUGGUUGCUCCCCUAUAUUACCCGCCUCAACUGGACCCCCCUCCCCAACUCAACUCUAGAAUAUCUGUAUUUCUUUCCUCUACCUAAUUACGUUACUCAGUGACGAUAACGAAUGUCCACUGCUAACACCAGCUCCUGCCCACGGCGUGGUCAGGUUGGAAGAGAGAUCAAAAGAAAAAUACCACGAAAACUAUCACCACCACUACAACCCUCCUCUUCUCAGGCGCCGAAUCCCCCCGUCCCCCCCACAUCUCCUUCCCAGUUUUCAGAGUUGGCACUAUCAAUGUCGGUACAUUGACAGGCAAGUCUAGUGAGAUUGUAGAGAUGCUAGAGAGAAGACAGGUUGAUGUAUGCUGCAUACAAGAGGUAAGAUGGAGAGAUGCUUCGGCUAGGGUCCUCACGGGCAAGGCACUUAGGUACAAACUCUACUGGCAAGGUAACGCGGAAGGUGUAGGGGGUGUAGGCAUUCUCCUUGCGGAGGAAUGGGUGGAUAAGGUCAUAGAGGUUGUCAGGGUUUGUGAUAGAGUGCUUAAGCUCAGGUUGGUCCUACAGAGUGGCACAGCUAUGAUUAUCUCAGCCUAUGCCCCACAAGCGGGACUACCAAAUGAUCAGAAGGACAACUUUUAUGAUACCCUUCUGCAGGCUACUUCAAAGACUAGUAACAAGGACCUCAUCUUUGUAGGUGGAGAUUUAAUGGGCAUGUUGGGCGGGAAUCGGGUAUCUUCACUGGGGUACAUGGUGGCUAUGGUAUUGGCACCAGAAAUGAUGAGGGAACUAGACUGCUGGAAUUCUGUGAUGCAUGUAACCUUUCAAUCUGCAACACUAACUUCAAGAAGCCAGUCUGCCACCUUAUAACUUAUCAGUCAGGAGACUCCGCUAGCCAAAUAGACUUCAUCCUCACCAGACAACGGGAUGCAGGGUUGCUCUUGAAUACAAAGACCCUCCCGGGUGAAGAAUGUAUCCCUCAGCAUAGACUAAUCAUCAGUGACUUUAAGCUUGAGGCCAGAAGGACUCCAAGAAACAAACCAAUCCAGAAAAGAAGGAUUUGGAGGCUAAAGAACCCUUCGCAUGGUCAGAAAUUUAGGGACAUACUCAUCAAGAAAUUUGAUGAGAGGGAAGAGGAGCUUCAGACGUCAGACAUAGAAGGUAGCUGGGAAUUCCUACGGGACAGCUUGUUGAGUGCCACAGACCAAGUUUGUGGAAGGUGCAAAGUCCCUUCCAGACCUAGAAUUACGUGGUGGUGGAAUAGUGCAGUAGAUGAAGCCAUCUGUGAAAAGAGACGGGCCUGGAAAGCCUGGAAGGAUGGGGGCAGCAGGGAACUGUACCAGAUAGCCAAAAGGGAGGCUGGGCGGCAGGUAUACAUUGCCAAAGAUGUAGCAGAAAAGAAGAAGUUUGCCAAUGUCCAGCGUCGCGAGGAUCAAAGAGCUGAAGUAUUUCGGAUUGCCAGACAGUGUGUCAGAGAAAAUAGCGAUGUUAUAGGAGAGAAAUGUGUCCGCAUGGAUGAUGGGGCACUUGCUUUUACUACUAGUGAAAAGAAAGAGGCUUGGAGAAGCCAUUAUGAAAAACUGCUGAAUGAGGAGAAUGAAUGGGAGGAGGAGAGCCUGCCAAAUGUUGACCCAGUAGAGGGACCAGCUACCCGAAUAGACAGCUCCCUUGUAGAUAAGGCAAUUAAGGAUAUGAAACCAGGCAAAGCCCCUGGCCUAUCAGGAAUCACUGCUGAGAUGCUUAAAACAGCUGGCUAUGUGGGCCAUGCCAUAGUCACCCGCAUUGUAAACCAGGUAGUUCACAAUGGAGCCAUACCCAAUGACUGGUGCAGCAGCACCAUAGUCAACUGCUACAAGGGUAAGGGUGAUGCUCUAGAUAGAAAUAACUACAGAGGUAUCAAACUGUUGGACCAGGUGAUGAAGGUCUCAGAGAAGGUCAUAACCAAUCUCAUUAGGGAGAGAAUUUGUUUAGAUGAAAUGCAGUUCGGUUUUGUACCAGGUAGAAGCACCACUGAUGCUAUAUUCCUGGUCCGACAACUGCAGGAGAAGUACCUAGCUAAAGAUAAACCCCUCUACAUAGCUUUUGUAGACUUGGAGAAAGCCUUUGACAGGGUUCCCCGUUCCCUUAUCUGGUGGUCGAUGCGGAAACUGGAGAUUGAAGAAUGGCUAAUAAGGGCUGUAUAGGCUCUAUACAGAGAGGCUGUCAGCAAGGUUAGGAUUGGCAACGAAUAUAGUGAAGAAUUCCGAGUAGAAGUAGGUGUGCACCAGGGCUCAGCCCUCAGUCCCCUUUUAUUCAUCAUAGUCCUUCAGGCAAUAACAGAGGAAUUCAAAACGGGAUGCCCCUGGGAGCUCCUCUAUGCCGAUGACCUAGCUCUCAUAGCAGAAUCACUACCGGAACUAGAAGAGAAAUUUCGGGUGUGGAAGCAAGGGUUGGAAUCAAAGGGCCUUAGAAUAAAUGUAGCAAAGACCAAAGUAUUAGUAAGCAGCAAGAGGUACUCAGCACACAUCCCCUCGGGUAGGUGGCCCUGCUCAACCUGUAGGAAAGGUACAGGUAGAAACUCCAUAAGAUGCACUCAAUGUAAGUUAUGGACACAUAAGAGGUGCAGCAACAUUAAAGGGAAAUUAACAGAUAAGAUAGCUUUCAUGUGCGGCAGAUGCACAGGGACAAUAGACACAACAGACACUCAGAAAACAGAUUCCAUCACACUCCAGGGAGAGAAACUAGAAGUAGUUGAUAGUUUCCGCUACCUGGGAGACCAAGUUAGUAGCGGAGGUGGAUGCACAGAGAGUAUCACCACUAGAAUACGAAUAGCCUGGGCAAAGUUCAGAAAGCUCCUACCCCUACUGGCAACAAAAGGUCUCUCCCUCAGAGCAAAAGGUAGAUUGUAUGAUGCAUGUGUGCGAACUGCCAUGCUUCACGGUAAUGAAACAUGGGCUGUGACUGCAGAAGACAUGCGUAGACUUGAAAGAAAUGAAGCUAGCAUGAUCCGCUGGAUGUGUAGUGUCAGUGUGCACGCAAAACAGAGUGUAAGUAUCCUGAGAGAAAUGCUGGAUAUAAGAAGCAUCAGAUGUGGUGUGCAAGAGCGACGCUUGCGAUGGUAUGGUCAUGUGCUGCGGAUGGAUGAAGAGAGAUGUGUGAAGAAGUGCCACUCCCAAACAGUUGAAGGUAUCAGGGGGAGAGGUAGACCCAGGAAGACAUGGGAUGAGGUGGUCAAGCAUGACCUCAGAGCAUUGGGCCUCACUGAGGCAAUGGCGAAGGACCGAGAUCUCUGGAGAUAUGCUGUGACUACAAAGACCCGGGCUGCUUUCUGCAGUAAUUCCACAUACCCCCUACCCAUUCUAAGUACCCCGGAUCCCCAAAGUACCCUGGAUCCCCAAAGUACCCCGAUCCCCAAAGUACCCCGGACCUCGUUGCCCCCAUGCCGCUGACACGUUAAAAUGCUCGAACCGAUCGUGACGAUGCCGGACCCUCCGGCCCCUGUGCAGGUGGCACGUAAAAAGCACCCAAUCCACUCACGGAGUGGUUGGCGUUAGGAAGGGCAUCCAGCCGUAGAAACUCUGCCAGAUUCAGACUGGAGCCUGGAGCGGCCCCUGGCUUCCCAGACCCGGUCAAACCGUCCAACCCGUGCUAGCGCGGAAAGCGGACGUUAAACGAUGAUGAUGAUAUAUAUAUAUAUGAGUAGUUAUGAUCUCUAUCACAUUGUCCAGUGCCUUGGAUAAAAGUAUGAUGACAUUUUCAGACAACUGCUUAUGGUAGGCCACUGUCCCUUUUGUGCAUGAAGAAUUUGGUAGGUAUUUUUUAUUCCUGGAUUGCAAAUGUAUGCCCUUCAAAGUGAGAGUUAGGGAUCUGGUUGUUGGUCCAUGAUUGUUGGUCCAUAUUGCUGUCAUCCUGGAGCUUUCUGCUAACAAUUCUGUGCAUGAUCUGCUGAUUUGUACUCAUCCUUUCAUCUAAUGAUUUGUUGCUGUUUGAGUCAUGCAACUUUUUUGGGCAUGUAUUUGAGAUUAACAGACUGGGAAUAUUUCUUGAGGAGCUGCUUUCCAAAUCUCAUGAAGUUAUCUACCUCAUGUAUGGCAACUUUAUCAAUAGAUGUACUUUGUCACUUGGUGGUAAAAGCUAUUGGCAAAGGGAUAUGAUGUGGCAUUCAGAAGCUGUCUGAAUCGAUGUUUAACCUCUGCUUCUUCGUUCUUGUUUUAGGUAUAGGCGGUCUAUGUCACUAUUGACGUGAAAAUUAUUUGUGCUGGUUUGUAUCUUUUAGGUUUUCACAUCAGUGGUUUGGAGCUUAUCAAGUAGCCCAAAUGUUGGUAUAAAUACUGGUAUUACAAACACAUUUUAUUGUAUGCUGAGAGUUCUAAGGUCCAUAUUUUUCUUAUCCAGUUGUUGUAUUCCUUCGUGAUGCAUUCCUUGUUACAGGUACCAUCGUAAGAUAUGUUUUUAUCUAUCCCUAGGUACCUGUAACAUUCCUCAUCAGAUACAGGAGAAACAUUCAAUUCAUUGAUGGAGAUGCUGGUAGUUUGGUUCACAGUUUUCCCUUGUUUCACAACCAUAUAGGAAUAUCUAUCCUGACCAAGUUCUAACCCUAUAUCCUUUGAGAAUGUUGUAAUGAAGUCAAGGCUCUUUUUCUUAUCAAUCAUUUCUGUGGCGUAUAGCUUCAAGUUAUCUUCAAAGAAGCAGUGUGUAAUCUUUGUAUUUUUUUUCUCUAUGAACCAGUAAGAUACCCUUCAAACUUCCUCAACAUGAAUGACAAGUGGUUUAUUGAAAAUAUGGACAUCAUUGCAGGAGACUGUCUCUUUGGAAUAGACUUUUGUGAUACUAUAUUUUAUCUCUCAUUGUAUUUAACUUUAGAUGAAACGAGGUCAGUUAUGGCUUUGACUAUGUUCUCUGGAACUUUAGUGAGUCAAAGGACUCCUAGCAUCCUUGAAUGGGAAACAUAGUCAAAAGCUUUCUUAUAGUCCAACUACAUUGAAGUCAGGUUCCUCCUAUGCUGCCACACAUCUGACAUUACAGUUUUAUUUAUCAGCUAUUACUUAGUACAUAAAGCUUAAGUUAUUUUUUCAUGAAAUAUAUAAUUGAGGACAUUUUUCACCUGUAUUUAUCCCUAAUAAUUGCUGCAAUGAUCAUUAAGGUUGUACCUGGUGUUUAUUACAGUGGUAAUAGUUGCCUUAGCUUGUAAUGUAGUCCAGCUAACAGGCAAUAUAAUGUCUGUAGGAAUGUCUUUGACUGAAGUCUUCAUGGUAUUCUAACAUUGUUCACACUUUUGUUUAUACUGUUUGGCAUACAAUUUCAUCUCUUCUUUGGAUUAAGUUACAUUCAUUAACAUUCUUCCCAUAUUCAAGAAAUGUUUGUUGUUGGCAUUAUAUUUUUGCCAUAAAAUCUUUUACCAUUGGAAGCAGAUUGUCCUAGUAUGCUAUGCUCUUUUAUAAUGAUUAGCAGUUAUAUAAAUCAUUAUUGAGCUCAUAAUUUUGAAGAAAAUGCAUUUUAUAUUUACAGUUUCUUCUAUUGCUACAAUCUAUUGCUACAACUAAAAGAAAAUCUGUUUACUUUUUACAAUGUUAAUUUCUGUUUUGUAACUGUUGUUGUUGAUGCAGCACGUUCAGCCAUUUUAAGUUUGAGACAAAAAUUCAACUUGAAAUAACAGCACCUUCAGUCAAUUCAUUUGAAGAUUCAGCAGUUAUUUAACAGGGUUGAUAGUUGUGGAUUCAAAAUUGGACACAAUAUUCAAAGUUCUUUUUGAUGAGUCGUCUCCCACACCAAAUAUGCAACUUGUUGCUUUGUAUGUAUGUUCAUAUGCAUGCAUGCAUGCCUGCAUCCAUCAAUGCCUGCUUUCCUACCCACCUAUCUGUUUCAUUUGUUUUCUCUUUCUGUUCUAUUUUUAAUUAUUUGAAGCCUUCCUGUAAGGGAAAGAACUGUUUCUAACAAUGGUACAAAGUUCCAUAGUUGGAAUGUAGGUAACAAAAAUAAAUUUACAUUUUGAACUUGCAAAAAGUCUUGUAUAUUUUUACUGUUCUACUUACAAAUAGUAUUUCAAAUGUGUGAGUUAAUUGACUGAUUUCUUUUUCUGAAAACUCUAACUUAUCUACAUUAUCACCUAGGCAUUUACUCAUGAAUUUAUAAUCUGAGUAUCGAAGUUCGAC